GAAUUUCAGAGAGAAGUGAAGAUUCAUCGUAACAAGAGAAUAAAAUUUCUAUGACCUGAUCGUGGAGGCGAAUAUUUGAGUUACGAGUUUGACCUUCAUUUAAAACAAUGUGGAAUAGUUUCACAACUCACGCCACCUGGAACACCACAGCGUAAUGGUGUGUUCGAACACCGUAACCAUACUUUAUUAGAUAUGGUGCGAUCUAUGGUGUCUCUUACCGAUUUAACACUAUAGUUUUGGGGUUAUGCAUUAGAGACAGUUGCAUUCACAUUAAAUAGGGCACUGUCUAAAUCCGUUGAGAUGACACCAUAUGAACUAUGCUUUGGCAAUAAAUCUAAGUUGUCGUUUCUUAAAGUUUGGGGUUGCGACACUUAUGUCAAAAGGCUUCAGCCUGAUAAGCUCGAACCCAAAUCAUAGAAGUGCGUCUUCAUAGGAUACCCUAAGGAAACAAUUGGGUGCACCUUCUACCACAGUUUCAAAGGCAAGAUUUUUUUUGCCAAGAAUGGAACCUUUCUAGAGAAGGAGUUUCUCUUGAAAGAAGUGAGUGGGAGGAAAGUAGAAGUUGAUGAGGUAAUUGUACCUUCACUCAAUUUGGAAAGUAGCUCAUUAGAGAACUCUGUUCCAUUGAUGCCUACACCAACUAGAGAGGAAGCUAAUGAUGAUGAUCGUGAAACUUCAGAUCAAGUUACUACCAAACCUCGUAGGUCAACCAGAACACGAUCAACACCAGAGUUGUACGAUAAUCCUGUUCUAGAAGUCAUGUUACUAGACCAUGGUGAACAUAUGAAUUAUGAAGAAGCUAUGAUGAGCCCAGAUUCCGAUAAAUGGCUUGAGGCCAUGAAAUCUGAGAUUGGAUCCAUGUAUGAGAACAAAGUGUGGACUUUGGUGGAUUUGCCCAAUGAUCGGCGAGCCAUAGAACAUAAAUGGAUCUUCAAGAAGAAGACUGAUGCUGAUGGUAAUGUUACUGUCUAUAAAUCUCGACUUGUUGUGAAAGGUUUUCAACAAGUUCAAGGACUUGACUAUGAUGAGACUUUCUCACCCGUAGCGAUGCUUAAGUCUGUCUGAAUCAUGUUAGCAAUUGCCACAUUUUAUUAUUAUGAAAUCUGGCAAAUGGAUGUCAAAACUGCAUUCCUUAAUGGAUUUUUUAAAGAAGAGUUGUAUAUGAUGCAACUAGAAGGUUUUGUCGAUCCUAAAGGUGCUAACAAAGUGUGCAAGCUCCAGCGAUCCAUUUAUGGACUGGUGCAAGCAUCUUGGAGUUGGAAUAUACGCUUUGAUGAGGUGAUCAAAGCAUAUGGUUUUAUACAGACUUUCAGAGAAGCUUGUAUUUAUAAGAAAGUGAGUGGGAGCUCUAUAGCAUUUCUAAUACUAUAUGUGGAUGACAUAUUGUUGAUUGGAAAUGAUGUGGAAUUUCUAGAUAGCAUAAAAGGAUACUUGAAUAAAGUUUUUCAAUGGAACACCUCGGUGAAGCUACUUAUAUAUUGGGCAUCAAGAUCUAUAGAGAUAGAUCACGACGCUUAAUAGGACUUUCACAAAGCACAUACCUUGACAAAGUUCUGAAGAAGUUCAAAAUGGGUCAGUCAAAGAAAGGGUUCUUGCCUGUAUUGCAAGGUGUGAAAUUGAGUCAAACUCAAUGCCCGACCACUGCAGAAGAUAGGGAGAAAAUGAAAGUCAUUCCCUAUGCCUCAGCCAUAGGUUCUAUCAUGUAUGCUAUGCUGUGUACCAGACCUGAUGUGUGCCUUGCCAUAAGUCUGGCAGGGAGGUGCCAAAGUAAUCCAGGAGUGGAUCACUAGACAACGGUCAAGAAUAUCCUAAAGUACCUGAAAAGGACCAAGGAUAUGUUUCUCGUUUAUGGAGGUGACAAAGAGCUUGUCGUAAAUGGUUAUGUCGAUGCUAGUUUUGACACUGAUCCGGAUGACUCUAAGUCACAAACCGGAUAUGUAUUUAUUUUGAAUGGUGGAGCUGCCAGUUGGUGCAGUUCCAAGCAAAGCGUCAUGGCGGGAUCUACGUGUGAAGCAGAGUACACAGCUGCUUCAGAAGCAGAAAAUUAAGGAGUCUGGAUGAAGGAGUUCAUAUCCGAUCUAGGUGUAAUACCUAGUGCAUUGGGUCCAAUGAAAAUCUUUUGUGACAAUACUGGAGCAAUUGCCUUAGCGAAGGAAUCCAGAUUUCACAAAAGAACCAAACACAUCAAGAGAUGCUUCAACUCCAUCCGUGAUCAAGUCAAGGAGGGAGACAAAGAGAUUUGCAAAAUACACACGGAUCUGAAUAUAGCAGACUUAUUGACUAAGCCUCUUCCAUGAGCAAAACAUGAUCAACACCAAGAUUCCAUGGGUGUUAGAAUCAUUACAAUGUAAUCUAGAUUAUUAUCUCUAGUGAAAGUGGGAGACUGAAGGAAAUAUGCCCUAGAGGCAAUAAUAAAGUUGUCAUUUUAUAUUUCCUUAUUUCAUGAUAAAUGUUUAUUAUUCAUGCUAGAAUUGUAUUAACCGGAAACUUGAUACAUGUGUGGAUGCAUAGACAAAAUACCAUGUCCCUAGUAAGCCUCUACUAGACUAGCUCGUUGAUCAAAGAUGGUUAAGUUUCCUAACCAUUGACAUGUGUUGUCAUUUGAUAAACAUGAUUACAUCAUUAGGAGAAUGAUGUGAUGGACAAGACCCAUUCAUUAGCUUAGCAUUAUGAUCGUUCAGUUUUAUUGCUAUUGCUUUCUUCAUGUCAAAUACAUAUUCCUUCGACUAUGAGAUUAUGCAACUCCCGAAUACCAGAGGAAUGCCUUAUGUGCUAUCAAACAUCACAACAUAACUGGGUGAUUAUAAAGACACUCUACAUGUAUCUCCGAAGGUGUUUGUUGGGUUGGCAUAGAUCAAGAUUAGGAUUUCUCACUCCGAUUAUCGGAGAGGUAUCUCUGGGCCCUCUCAGUAAUACACAUCACAAGAAACCUUGCAAGCAAAGUGACUAAUGAGUUAGUUUCAAGAUGAUGUAUUACGGAACAAGUAAAGAGACUUGCCGGUAACGAGAUUGAACUAGGUAUGAAGAUAUCGAUGAUCGAAUCUUGGGCAAGAAACAUACUGGUGACAAAGGGAAUAACGAAUGUUGUCAUAACGGUUCGACCGAUAAAGAUCUUCGUAGAAUAUGUGGGAGCCAAUAUGAGCAUCCAGGUUCCACUAUUUGUUAUUGACCGGAGAGGUGUCUCGGUCAUGUCUACAUAGUUCUCGAACUCGUAGGGUCCGCACGCUUAACGUUUCAUGAAGAUAUUGUAUUAUAUGAGUUAUCUGAUUUUGUGACCGAAUGUUGUUCAGAGUCCCGGAUGAGAUCACAUACAUGAUAUGGAGUCUCCAAAUGGUCGAGAGGUAAAGGUUGAUGUAUAGUACGAUAGUAUUCGGACACCAGAAGUGUUCCGGAAUGUAUCGGGUAUUUAUCAGAGUACCGGGAGGGUUACCGAAACCCCCGGGGGAAAUAUAUGGGCCAUAUGGGCCAUGAGAGGGGAGCACACCAGCCCACAAGGGGUGGUGCGCCCCCCUAUGGCAGGUGGCUGAAUAGGAGAAGGAGAAGAGGCGGUUCGGCGCCCCUUCUGUCAGGACCCCGACUCAAUGCCACAUCGAUCUAGCAUGUAACACCUCAUAUCACUUUGCGGCCUCACGCACGGUGUUCCCACGGGUGUCGCCUUACCUUUGCCCGGGACCGUUUGCACCUUUUGGCACACGUAUAUGACAUUGUCGCUAGCAUCCAUAUGAUAAGGAGCCCGGGCUGACAUGGCUAGUCGUAAACCCAAAGCGGCACAGACUUACAGGGACAGGCAUCCAUGACCCAGCAUCGAACGUGUCGGUCAUCAGCGAGUGAAUCCAGGCUGUAGCACUGGGCUAGCAGGACUCCGGUGAACCGGGCUGUAGCGGGCUAACAGGACUUCGGUAUUCACCGCGUGACAUUUCCCCGAAGGGACAGACACAGGAACGAAGAAGGACACAUGCCGGCCAGCCUAAGUGUUCCGGAGCAGUAGCAAGCUACCAUGGCUCAGUGGAAACACUAGGAGACAUUUCCCGGUAAGAGAGGCUACUAAAGAUAAACAACUAGAUGGUCAGAUCCCACACAUACCAAGCAUUUCAAUAACAUACACACAAUAUGCUCGAUAUGUGCAAUACAACAUGGCAUCACAAAAUGACUCUACGACUCAAGUAGUUUAUUCAAUAGGCUCCGAGGAGCGAGAUAUUACAAACAUGGGUCUCAUGACCCAACACUCAGAGCAUACAAGUCAAAGCACAAGCGGAAGCUAUCAUGUCUGAGUACAGACAACUAUAAAUGAAAAAGGCUGAGAAGCCUGACUAUCUACCAAAUCCUGCCGAGGCACAAGAUCGUAGCUGAGGUAACAAGCUAAACGUCGAAGACCACGCAGAAAUACUAGUGAGACUGAAGUCUCUCUGCAAAAACAUAAAAUAGGCAAACGUGAGUACAAAUGUACCCAGCAAGACUUACAUCAGAACUAUCUACAUAUGCAUCAUUAUCAACAAAGGGAUGGUGGGGUUUAACUGCAGCAAGCCAGCUUUGACUCGGUGGCUAUCCUGAACUACGACUGCGAGUAACUUUUUUUGAGGUGGCGCACACGAGUCCACAUAUUCACCAUAUCAAUACACCACUAUGGAUCCGCUCCCGUCUCCCUACGAGAACGCCAUCCAUAGCACUCACGCUUAUCUUGCGUAUUUUAGAGUAUCCACUUUCACUUGUCUAUGAACUGAUAUAAGCAACCCAGAAGUCCUUUUCCGUGGACAUGGCUAUUCGAAUAGAUUAGGUUAACCCUGCAGGGGUGUACUUCUUCACACACGCUCUCACCACUUACCGCCGUUUACACGACAUGUACUCGGCAACCUUCAAGCGGAAGCCCAACGUGGGUGUCGGCCACGGCCUACCUAAACACUCAAGUCUCUAGUCCAGGUUUAUCGCCUAUUCGGGUUCCAUCCAUGAGGAGAUCCGGUCGGAGUUUCGCUCACAGCCCCAAACGAUGUGAACAGGGUUCCCGAGACACCAAACGGGCGCCCGGUACACCGUGCCACGUGCCUACCGCAUCACAGCCCACCCCUACGGUCAGCGCUGCGCAUGGCCUCCAGCAUACUACAAACACCAAAAACUACUUGCAACUCCUGGACAGAGGACAAGGGUGAUUAAGAAGCCGAGAGGGUCCAUUGGUUUCGGGCCCAAUGCGUGGUAGUAGCUGAAUCAUGGAUCACAAACACAGAACUCAGUUCCUGAGGACGGCUGCAAUGAGACAACCCACCAUGUACUCCUACAUGGCCUCUCACCGCUACCUUUACCAAAACGUGUUCACACACUUAGCUCACACAUAGUAGGACAUGUUCACACGCCUCUGAUUCAUCCCCGAUGAAUCAGACCUGACUCAACUCUAAGCAGUAGCAGGCAUGACAAACAAGCAUGAAUGAGUAGGCACAACAGGGCUCAAACAACUCCUACUCAUGCUAGUGGGUUUCAUCUAUUUACUGUGGCAAUGACAGGUCAUGCAAAGGAUAAAGGGGUUCAGCUAUCGCAGCAAGUAACAGAUGAAUCGGUGUUGUCCUAAUGCAGUAAAAGAGAGCAGGAGCGAGAGAGUAGGAUUGUAUCGGAAUGAACAAGGGGGUUUUGCUUGUCUGGCACUUCUGAAGAUAACAUUGAGUCUUCAUCAGUGUCAGCGAUCACAUCAUCGGGUAUCACGUCUAUCGAGAGGGGACAAAUACCAGCAACACAAAAGGGAACACAAUCAAUGCAAUGCACAAUAUGAUGCAUGAUCAUGACAUGGCAAAAUGAAUGUGUUUGAGCUAAUGCAACUAGCAACAGAUUAAAUGAAGUUGGUUUGAAUACAAGAUUCAAAUUCAAACUCCAUAUGUGAUUAUUCAAAUGCCAUUUACUUCAUUUGCCCUAAACAGUAGUGAUAAGUUGUUCUAACAUGCAUGAAAAUGGUACAUAUGGAUUCCUUGAAUUUUUCUGAUAAUUUUUCAUAUAUAAAUUAUUUAAUUUGGAGUUACGGUUAAUUUUCUAUGAUUUUUAGAAGUUUUAGGCAUUUUCUAGAAUUUCCUGGAUAUUAAUAAAUCCAGUAAUUGAAUUAAUGCGCCAGCCUGACGUCAUCAUGACGUCAGCAGGUCAACUGGGCGCCUCCAGGUCAAACCUGACACUGGGACCCACAUGUCAGUGUGAUUAGCUUAACUAAAAUUAAUUAAAACUAAUCCUAAUAGUCAACAGGGCUGGGCCCCACCUGUCAUUGACUCAGGAGAGUCAACCGGGGCCCACCCGUGGUCAAAGUCAAAGUCGGCUGCCGGCGUUUAGCCGCCGGCGAGCCCGACGCGGCGGCGAGAGUGGUUUUGGCCACUCCGGCGACCAAAUGGGCCGCGGAGGGCAUCUAGGAGGAGCUGGGGACGAGCCGAAGCUCCUGGUGGAGUCAGUUGCGCUCGGGGCGGCCGGAAUCGGUGCCGACGGCGAGCGAGGCGGCGGCCGGAGCUCGGGUGUGCUCGGUUUCGGCGUUACACGGCACGGCGGGCGCGGCCGAUGGGNNNNNNNNNNNNNNNNNNNNNNNNNNNNNNNNNNNNNNNNNNNNNNNNNNNNNNNNNNNNNNNNNNNNNNNNNNNNNNNNNNNNNNNNNNNNNNNNNNNNNNNNNNNNNNNNNNNNNNNNNNNNNNNNNNNNNNNNNNNNNNNNNNNNNNNNNNNNNNNNNNNNNNNNNNNNNNNNNNNNNNNNNNNNNNNNNNNNNNNNNNNNNNNNNNNNNNNNNNNNNNNNNNNNNNNNNNNNNNNNNNNNNNNNNNNNNNNNNNNNNNNNNNNNNNNNNNNNNNNNNNNNNNNNNNNNNNNNNNNNNNNNNNNNNNNNNNNNNNNNNNNNNNNNNNNNNNNNNNNNNNNNNNNNNNNNNNNNNNNNNNNNNNNNNNNNNNNNNNNNNNNNNNNNNNNNNNNNNNNNNNNNNNNNNNNNNNNNNNNNNNNNNNNNNNNNNNNNNNNNNNNNNNNNNNNNNNNNNNNNNNNNNNNNNNNNNNNNNNNNNNNNNNNNNNNNNNNNNNNNNNNNNNNNNNNNNNNNNNNNNNNNNNNNNNNNNNNNNNNNNNNNNNNNNNNNNNNNNNNNNNNNNNNNNNNNNNNNNNNNNNNNNNNNNNNNNNNNNNNNNNNNNNNNNNNNNNNNNNNNNNNNNNNNNNNNNNNNNNNNNNNNNNNNNNNNNNNNNNNNNNNNNNNNNNNNNNNNNNNNNNNNNNNNNNNNNNNNNNNNNNNNNNNNNNNNNNNNNNNNNNNNNNNNNNNNNNNNNNNNNNNNNNNNNNNNNNNNNNNNNNNNNNNNNNNNNNNNNNNNNNNNNNNNNNNNNNNNNNNNNNNNNNNNNNNNNNNNNNNNNNNNNNNNNNNNNNNNNNNNNNNNNNNNNNNNNNNNNNNNNNNNNNNNNNNNNNNNNNNNNNNNNNNNNNNNNNNNNNNNNNNNNNNNNNNNNNNNNNNNNNNNNNNNNNNNNNNNNNNNNNNNNNNNNNNNNNNNNNNNNNNNNNNNNNNNNNNNNNNNNNNNNNNNNNNNNNNNNNNNNNNNNNNNNNNNNNNNNNNNNNNNNNNNNNNNNNNNNNNNNNNNNNNNNNNNNNNNNNNNNNNNNNNNNNNNNNNNNNNNNNNNNNNNNNNNNNNNNNNNNNNNNNNNNNNNNNNNNNNNNNNNNNNNNNNNNNNNNNNNNNNNNNNNNNNNNNNNNNNNNNNNNNNNNNNNNNNNNNNNNNNNNNNNNNNNNNNNNNNNNNNNNNNNNNNNNNNNNNNNNNNNNNNNNNNNNNNNNNNNNNNNNNNNNNNNNNNNNNNNNNNNNNNNNNNNNNNNNNNNNNNNNNNNNNNNNNNNNNNNNNNNNNNNNNNNNNNNNNNNNNNNNNNNNNNNNNNNNNNNNNNNNNNNNNNNNNNNNNNNNNNNNNNNNNNNNNAUUUUAACUUACCCUAGUUGAGUUGAUUUAAUGCUAGGGUUUGAACAUCCCCAUUUCAAUUUUAGGCAAAAUUUAAACAUGAUGCAACACAUGACUAGCUAGCUCAGAGCAUUACCAGAAGCUAGGGAUGUGACAACUCACCCCCACUAAACAAGAAUCUCGUCUCGAGAUUCAAGCGUAGGGUAAGGUGAAAGGUAAGCGCAACUAGUAUAAUCUUCACGAUCCAGGGUGCACUUCAGUUGAACGUUGAUUUGAACACCAUCUUUGUCUUGUCGUCUUGCUCUGAGCACUCCUGUCAACAUGACAUGGAGGGAAGAAGGAGACUCUAGAAGGGUCGAUCUUCUCGAAGAUCGAGCAACUCACGGAAUGAGACAUAACAAUAUCUCUCGAGCUGAGAGACGAAGCACAGAUCUGAAGAAAUGGAGUAAGACAGACGACGAGGGUUCGCUAGGUGGACCACAAUUCCACACCUAAGAAGGUGGUAAACAAUUGUCCACGUAGCGAGGAGUUGAGUUGCCAUGAUACCACGACGAAACAUCCUGAAGGAGGGUGAUUCGUAGAUUAUCCCCUUAAGUGGCAAAAAGAAUUACUUUUGAUUCAGAGAUCACUGAAAUUCUUUAAACCAGCCUAAGGCAAUCACAAGCGAUCAUUUGGAGGGGGUCGGUAGAAUGGCAUACUCGGACUUGGAUGAUGUGGAUUACCUUGUUGAAGACAACGCAAUGGAUGAAUUUGCUUAUCACCGGAAAUGGAAGAGACCCAUGGUAGAAUGACACAUUGGCGGUGCAAGCUGGGAACAAAAUGCAAAUGCUGGGAAUGAUUCUAGUAACUGGGGAGAGGCUCAACAAUAGAGAGUUAUUCCACUAUUGGAAUGGUUAUAGCAUAACCGAGGAAAUCUGGGGCAAUCCCAGCUAGUGCCGAUGAUAAGACGUAGCGCUUGUGCAUGCUCUCAAGAACUUGAGCAUUUCCACAUUCAUCAAGGUUUUACCAAUAUCCGUGUCAAGGAUCCUGGCAACACAACUUGCUACCAUGAUGAAGGAUGAUGGAUGAUGCAGAUGCAAAGGAAAAUAACACCUUCUCAGAUUUCACCCUUGGCGAGGCCAAAGAAAUAAAAUCUGGAUGAUCGACCGAGAGACAUUUAGCACUCCGCUUCUAAUGUUCUCCUUGACGUGCUAGUGUAACCCAUUCAUAGAUAUGGUUUGCUAACUAGAACAUCAAGUAAAGGUCGGACUUCAGGAGCAAUAGAAUCCAUAAGGAACAGUUACGGAGGUAAAUCCUACGAAAUCCUUAUGGGGAGGUGGCCAAUUUCCUCAAUCAAGAUAUUAUAAUAACAGGUCUUCCGGCUGGGUGUGUUGGCCACGACAUCCACUUUACCGGUUAUCGAGGGACCAAUAUUAUAGUUCUUGGAGAAUGUUCCAAUCAUCAUAUCUGCCUGAGAUUCAGAUCUGGUUGGUGUCAGGAUAUUCCAGACUCAUAGAGUCUAGGAAGAAAAAUGAAAGUUUGCAACACAAAUCGACGAGAUGACGUUGCGAGAUUCUCGGAAGAUGAACUACGAUAGCAAGCUCCAAAACAUGAGCUGGUUCUGCUACAAACAUGUGAACACGUUGUCCAAGACAAGCAUGACCACAAAGUAGUCUUAUAAUAAAACACUACCGAGUUCAGGUUGGGAACCAUCAGCGAGGAUAUCGAAGUUCUUUCAUAAGUCCGGAUUAGCUCUUAUGGAGGAACUCCUUCUCCUUGAACAAAUCAAUCAGUGGCUUGGUGUGCUAGGGAUACAUAUAGAUUGAAGGUUGCAAGUCUUCAAACCACAGCAUUCUUCGCACGUGUGCAUGACUGAUUUGGAAUGAUUCCAAAGAAAGCAACAUUGACUUUCUCGAAUCCACGGCGGCAACUUGCAUCAGAUGCACAUGAAUUAAAGGAAGUCACUACCUUCAUCCAAACAUAUGCUUCAUGAGCUAGCAUGAACAAAUGCUUUCAAAAGUUUCCAACACUAGCUUAAUGUUCAGCAAAAUUAUGGAGAAGACAAGGAUGUUGUCAAUGGGCACAACAACAAUUCAUCUGGGUUUCCUUUUAAAAGGAAUUCCAUAGUUAAAUGAACAAGUGAUAGCAUUGGUCAGACCUAAAGAUAUAAUGGUGUAUGCUCGAGGGAUCAACCACGAAUAAGACAACAUUACGAGCAUCGUUGGUACUGAUUUGAUUUGACGAUAGCCCACACUCAAAUCAAAGGAUUGAUAAGACAAUAGGUCCAGCAACUGAUCAUAGGGACCAAUCGAUGAAGAUAUCAUCUUUCUUCAACACUCACUACACAAGAUUAUCCCUUUGAAAUGAACUAAGUCAGGCAAGCUUUUAUCCUCCAACUCUCCAAGUUGUUGUCUAGCUUAACCAACUAGCUCAGGGAUAUCUAACACCGAUUCUUGGGGAGAAGGUGGUUCACAAGAAACCAACUUGAUCACGAACUCAACAUAGCGGUCAGGUGACAACCCGGUAACACCUCCAAGAAGAUAUUUGGAAAGUCACGAACCACCGGUAUGUUGCUAAGCUCGGGAACAAUCUUGCUUUUGAGGGCAAGACGAUAUGAUCAAAUGAGUGAGGACUUGACAAGAUCCUAACUCAUCAAUCGAAGGGUGCACCGAAAUAAGGACUAGGUAGCACGAUCAGUCUUAGAAGGAUGAUUCGAAAACCAACAUACUAAGAAUGAAAUUAUUGUCCUUUAACUACCAAGCAACAAGGUUGCUAGGAGUAUUGAAUUCACACAUCACGAUUCACUUGUCGGCAUUCCGGUUGCGACAACACGGAAUCGAGGGAUGAAUAAUAAUGGCGAGAAGUAUCACUACAUCAAGAAUUCACAAGAGCCGGUGCAAUUCUCAUGAAAAUCCUGACAUAAAGACGGUAAUACUUCAGGGUAGAACAGAAUCAAAAGCUGGAUUGGCAUUUGAUCUGCGGAAUACAACUACUUUAACCCAAUCCUAGAUAUGGAAGAGGUACUGGAGUUUGUUUCUCCUAGUCAUUCCGGAAUAGAAUGGCUUGACAGACCACAAGAGUCAUAGGCAUCGAUGAACGAACACACGCAUACUCUUGACUAUCAAUUGAUAGACGAGGGUCAGAAUGCAACUAAAGAGAACAACUCAAAGGAACAUAUAACUUUCUGAGUUGUGGAUGCAUAGAUUAGUAUGUCGAACCAAGUUCAACAUAUUUCUUUCGGAUAACCCAUGCAGAAAGGUAGAACUGGCAGAGUCACGAUUUAUGAAUGGAGAACUCCUCAGGAGUACUCUAAUUGUAAUUUUUUUUGAUCCAAUAAACAUCUGCCAUAAGUAGUUCAUGGUAUUUGGAAGAAGAAGAUACCACGGACUUCAAGGACUAUCGCAAAGGUUACUAAUAUCCUAAAGGCACUAGCAAUUACUAUCAACAUGAAGUAGGUAGAGUGAAUCUCGGGUUCAGAACCCAGGAGUAGAAUACCUACUACUAAGUAGCAUCACGGGAUGCUUCCGAGAAUAAAGGCCAGAAUCUUCACACUAGGACACAAAUCAUGGCUAGACCACCAGAUGAUCCCCUAAGCACUUAGGGUCAUAAUAAUAAUUCCAACAUAUAUAUCGAGGCAAUAAUUACCUCAACACACCGAUUAGUGUGGUUAAUCUGGCCCAUGGGAACAUCGGAAACAGAAGGAAGGGAUUUGCAAAUGCAUCGGACUAUUUAGAAACCUGGGAUGACUCGGACAGCAUAACGGCUAUAAUUGCUCAAAAAGAUUUGAGACAAUCACAAAAAUGGUGGCAUAACCACUCAGAAGCACAAUAUCAAGGUUCCGAGAUCAACAAUUAACAUACGGAAGUAGUAGGAACUGAACUGAGACUUAAUUCCAACAAUCUUAUAAGUCUACUAAUUAGUAACACGUGAUCCUAAUAGAAAGAAGAGAAAGCCUAGUUUCUUAACCCCGUAGGAAAGAUAAGAUGACUCAGAUCAGAAGGCCAUGAGGUAUAAGGAGUAAAAAGAGCCUUACGUUCCAUCCCACAAUCAAUUCCCUUAUAUAACUAAAGGAUUUCUAGACUCAACUUCGACCAGUUUGGCUUGGUAAUCCUACAGGCAGUCAAGCUCUGAUACCAACGCUGUCAGGACCCCGACUCAAUGCCACAUCGAUCUAGCAUGUAACACCUCAUAUCACUUUGCGGCCUCACGCACGGUAUUCCCACGGGUGUCGCCUUACCUUUGCCCGGGACCGUUUGCACCUUUUGGCACACGUAUAUGACAGUGUCGCUAGCAUCCAUAUGAUAAGGAGCCCGGGCUGACAUGGCUAGUCGUAAACCCAAAGCGGCACAGACUUACAGGGAUAGGCAUCCAUGACCCAGCAUCGAACGUGUCGGUCAUCAGCGAGUGAAUCCAGGCUGUAGCACUGGGCUAGCAGGACUCCGGUGAACCGGGCUGUAGCGGGCUAACAGGACUCCGGUAUUCACCGCGUGACAUUUCCCCGAAGGGACAGACACAGGAACGAAGAAGGACACAUGCCGGCCAGCCUAAGUGUUCCGGAGCAGUAGCAAGCUACCAUGGCUCAGUGGAAACACUAGGAGACAUUUCCCGGUAAGAGAGGCUACUAAAGAUAAACAACUAGAUGGUCAGAUCCCACACAUACCAAGCAUUUCAAUAACAUACACACAAUAUGCUCGAUAUGUGCAAUACAACAUGGCAUCACAAAAUGACUCUACGACUCAAGUAGUUUAUUCAAUAGGCUCCGAGGAGCGAGAUAUUACAAACAUGGGUCUCAUGACCCAACACUCAGAGCAUACAAGUCAAAGCACAAGCGGAAGCUAUCAUGUCUGAGUACAGACAACUAUAAAUGAAAAAGGCUGAGAAGCCUGACUAUCUACCAAAUCCUGCCGAGGCACAAGAUCGUAGCUGAGGUAACAAGCUAAACGUCGAAGACCACGCGGAAAUACUAGUGAGACUGAAGUCUCUCUGCAAAAACAUAAAAUAGGCAAACGUGAGUACAAAUGUACCCAGCAAGACUUACAUCAGAACUAUCUACAUAUGCAUCAUUAUCAAGAAAGGGAUGGUGGGGUUUAACUGCAGCAAGCCAGCUUUGACUCGGUGGCUAUCCUGAACUACGACUGCGAGUAACUUUUUUUGAGGUGGCGCACACGAGUCCACAUAUUCACCAUAUCAAUACACCACUAUGGAUCCGCUCCCGUCUCCCUACGAGAACGCCAUCCAUAGCACUCACGCUUAUCUUGCGUAUUUUAGAGUAUCCACUUUCACUUGUCUAUGAACUGAUAUAAGCAACCCAGAAGUCCUUUUCCGUGGACACGGCUAUUCGAAUAGAUUAGGUUAACCCUGCAGGGGUGUACUUCUUCACACACGCUCUCACCACUUACCGCCGUUUACACGACAUGUACUCGGCAACCUUCAAGCGGAAGCCCAACGUGGGUGUCGGCCACGGCUUACCUAAACACUCAAGUCUCUAGUCCAGGUUUAUCGCCUAUUCGGGUUCCAUCCAUGAGGAGAUCCGGCCGGAGUUUCGCUCACAGCCCCAAACGAUGUGAACAGGGUUCCCGAGACACCAAACGGGUGCCCGGUACACCGUGCCACGUGCCUACCGCAUCACAGCCCACCCCUACGGUCAGCGCUGCGCACGGCCUCCAGCAUACUACAAACACCAGAAACUACUUGCAACUCCUGGACAGAGGACAAGGGUGAUUAAGAAGCCGAGAGGGUCCAUUGGUUUCGGGCCCAAUGCGUGGUAGUAGCUGAAUCAUGGAUCACAAACACAGAACUCAGUUCCUGAGGACGGCUGCAAUGAGACAACCCACCAUGUACUCCUACAUGGCCUCUCACCGCUACCUUUACCAAAACGUGUUCACACACUUAGCUCACACAUAGUAGGACAUGUUCACACGCCUCUGAUUCAUCCCCGAUGAAUCAGACCUGACUCAACUCUAAGCAGUAGCAGGCAUGACAAACAAGCAUGAAUGAGUAGGCACAGCAGGGCUCAAACAACUCCUACUCAUGCUAGUGGGUUUCAUCUAUUUACUGUGGCAAUGACAGGUCAUGCAAAGGAUAAAGGGGUUCAGCUAUCGCAGCAAGUAACAGAUGAAUCGGUGUUGUCCUAAUGCAGUAAAAGAGAGCAGGAGCGAGAGAGUAGGAUUGUAUCGGAAUGAACAAGGGGGUUUUGCUUGCCUGGCACUUCUGAAGAUAACAUUGAGUCUUCAUCAGUGUCAGCGAUCACAUCAUCGGGUAUCACGUCUAUCGAGAGGGGACAAAUACCGGCAACACAAAAGGGAACACAAUCAAUGCAAUGCACAAUAUGAUGCAUGAUCAUGACAUGGCAAAAUGAAUGUGUUUGAGCUAAUGCAACUAGCAACAGAUUAAAUGAAGUUGGUUUGAAUACAAGAUUCAAAUUCAAACUCCAUAUGUGAUUAUUCAAAUGCCAUUUACUUCAUUUGCCCUAAACAGUAGUGAUAAGUUGUUCUAACAUGCAUGAAAAUGGUACAGAUGGAUUCCUUGAAUUUUUCUGAUAAUUUUUCAUAUAUAAAUUAUUUAAUUUGGAGUUACGGUUAAUUUUCUAUGAUUUUUAGAAGUUUUAGGCAUUUUCUGGAAUUUCCUGGAUAUUAAUAAAUCCAGUAAUUGAAUUAAUGCGCCAGCCUGACGUCAUCAUGACGUCAGCAGGUCAACUGGGCGCCUCCAGGUCAAACCUGACACUGGGACCCACAUGUCAGUGUGAUUAGCUUAACUAAAAUUAAUUAAAACUAAUCCUAAUAGUCAACAGGGCUGGGCCCCACCUGUCAUUGACUCAGGAGAGUCAACCGGGGCCCACCCGUGGUCAAAGUCAAAGUCGGCUGCCGGCGUUUAGCCGCCGGCGAGCCCGACGCGGCGGCGAGAGUGGUUUUGGCCACUCCGGCGACCAAAUGGGCCGCGGAGGGCAUCUAGGAGGAGCUGGGGACGAGCCGAAGCUCCUGGUGGAGUCAGUUGCGCUCGGGGCGGCCGGAAUCGGUGCCGACGGCGAGCGAGGCGGCGGCCGGAGCUCGGGUGUGCUCGGUUUCGGCGUUACACGGCACGGCGGGCGCGGCCGAUGGGCUCUACGGGAUGCUGGGGUCACCAGGAAUACCCGGAGGCAACGAGCGCAGGCGGAGAAGCUCGGGAGCACGGAGCUCACCGGCCAUGGCGGACGGCGGCUUCGGGUGCUCGUGGGGCGGCGGCUACAGGGCGCAAUCGAAGGGGAAAAGAGGGAGGGGAGGCGUAGGAGCUCACAGCAGUGCCGUAGGGAUGGUUGGCCGGCUCGGGGGCGCGCCGGAGUGGCCGAAUCGACGGAGAAGCUCCUCGGCGGCCGGCGAGGGGAAAACGUCGGGGGUGGCGUUUCCGGGGCUCUUCUGGUCGCGUGACACGACGAGGAGGUCGAGGGAGGACCGGCGGAGCUUCCUGGGGCGUCGGCGAGGCUAGGGGUGGCCGGUGGCCAUGGGUACGACGACGAUGGCGGCGAGCUCCGCUCGGUGGUGUGCGCGAGAGGGAAACAGAGGAGGGAAUGGGGUCCAGGGGGAGAGAGGGGAGGUGCAGGGGGCGAGGGCGUCUCCGUGGCGUCGCGAGGGGGUCGGGGAGGAAGCAGGAGGUGGCUAGGGGGGGGAAGCAGGAGGUGGCCGAGGCAGCAUCGGCGAGCGCCACGCCUCGCCUCUGCUCGUCCUCCUGGCAGAGGAGGAAGAGGACAAAGGAGGAGGAGGUGGGCUGGGCCGGCUGGGGGGGAACUGGGCCGGCUGGUGGGCUGCACGGGUGAGGCCAGGUAUGUCCUUCUCUCUCUCUCUUUUAUUUUUUUCUGUUUCUGCAAUUUGUUUUUGAUUUGUUUUAAAUAUCAAAUCAUUUUAUAAAAUCCUGGAAAUAAAUAUGGGUGCUUUCUGAAUUAUUCCAGUGACCCUUAUCAAUUUCCAACAUUUAUUUGAGCAUUUAAAAUAUUUAUAGUAUUUAAAUGCCCAAAGUCAAAUACAAUAUGAUUUAAUUCAAAAAUCCAAAAAUGACCUAAGGAUAUAUUCAUCAUUUUUGGCAGAGGUUUCCACCUUAACCAGAAAUCAUGAACUUUUCUUAGGGGCCUUUUGGGUUUAUUGAAAAGAUUUUAACUUACCCUAGUUGAGUUGAUUUAAUGCUAGGGUUUGAACAUCCCCAUUUCAAUUUUAGGCAAAAUUUAAACAUGAUGCAACACAUGACUAGCUAGCUCAGAGCAUUACCAGAAGCUAGGGAUGUGACACCUUCCUUCUCUUCCCCCCUUCCUUUCUUCUCCAAUGGAAAAAGGAAAGGGGGGCGCCACUUGGGGAAACCCCAAGUAGGAUUCGGAUCCUACUUGGGGCGCCCCCUGGCUGCCUCUCCUCCCCGCCCACCUAUAUAUAUGUGGGAAGGGGGGCUCCCACCUAUAGCCAUGUGCGGCACCCCCCUCCACAGUUUACACUCCCCGGUUAUAUUCUCGUGGUGCUUAGGCGAAGCCCUGCGCAGAUCACUUCAGCAUCACCGUCACCAUGUCGUCGUGCUGACGAAACUCAUCUACUACCACGACACCUUGCUGGAUCAAGAAGGUGAGGGACGUCACCAAGUUGAACGUGUGCAGAACUCAGAGGUGCCGGAGCUAGAAGAAGUUUGACUACAUCAACCGCGUUGUCAAACACUUCCGCUUAUGGUCUACGAGGGUACGUAGACACACUCUCUCCCCCUCGUUGCUAUGCAUCUCCUAGAUAGAUCUUGCGUGAGCGUAGGAAUUUUUUUGAAAUUGUAGAAGGGAAUAUCAAACGGAGUCCAAACGGAAUAAAACUUUACGAUGCUUUUUCUUGGACCAGAAGACACACCCAGGAGACUUGGGGAGAGGGCCAGUGGAGUCCUGAGGAGGCCACAAGCCUCUUGGGAGCACUCGAGGGGGCGCGCCCCUGGCUUGUGGGCCCCUUGAGGGUUCCCUAACCCUAGUUCCAGCUCUAUAUAUUCUCAAAUAUUCCCCGAACAUUAGAAGCAUCCACAGAAAUAGUUUUCCGUUCCCGAAAGCUUCUGUUUUCGUGAGAUCCCAUCUUGGUGCCUUUUCCGGCAAUCUGCCGGAGGGGGAUUCGCUCAUGGAGGGCUUCUACAUCAACCUUGCUGCCCUACCGAUGAUGUGUGAGUAGUUUACCACAGACCUACGCGUCCAUAGCUAGUAGUUAGAUGGCUUCUUAUCUCUCUUUUAUCUUCAAUACCAUCUUCUCCUCGAUGUUCUUGGAGUUCUAUCCGAUGUAAUCUUCUUUUGCGGUGUGUUCCUUGAGAUCCGAUGAAUUGUGGGUUCAUGAUCAGAUUAUCUAUGAAUAUUAUUUGAGUCUCCUUUGAACUCUUUUAUGAAUGAUGUAAAUAGCUUUGUACUUCUCUCUGAUCUACUGAUUUGGUUUGGCCAACUAGAUUGAUCUAUCUUGCCAUGGGAGAGGUGCUUUGUAAUGGGUUCAAUCUUGCGGUGUCCUCACCUAGUGACAUAGUAGGGGUAGCGAGGCACGUAUUGUAUUGUUGGCAUUAAGGAUAAAAAGAUGGGGUUUAUAUCAUAUUGCUCGAGUUUAUCCCUCUACAUCAUGUCAUCUUGCUUAAGGCGUUACUCUGUUCUUAUGAACUUAAUACUCUAGAUGCAUGUUGGAUAGCAGUCGAUGUGUGGAGUAAUAGUAGUAGAUGCAUGCAGGAGUCAGUCUACUUGUCACGGAUGUGAUGCCUAUAUUCAUGAUCAUUGCCUUAGAUAUCGUCAUAACUUUGCGCUUUUCUAUCAAUUGCUCAACAUUAAUUUGUUCACCCACCAUAUGCUUUAUUCAAGAAAGAAGCCUCUAGUGAAACCUAUGCCCCCCGGGUCUAUUUUCCAUCAUAUAUUUUCAGAUCUAUAAACCAAAAAACCUUGCUGUAAUUUAUUUAUAUUUACUUUAAUCUGCUAUUUUAUUUAUCUUUUAUACCUAUCUCUAUUAGAUCUCACUCUUGUUCGUGACCGUGAAGGGAUUGUCAACCCCUUUUCGCAUUGUGUGCAAGUGUUUGUUAGUUUGUGCAGGUGCAUAUAUUGGAGACUUGCUUGUGCCUCCUACUGGAUUGAUACCUUGGUUCUUUUUUUUGAAACCUUGGAACAGUGGGAGAGGCUCCCACUGUUGUAUAUAUUACCCUCAACAAGUUACAAUUACAUAGAGUUAUUUACAACCCAUCCCACUCUGUGGGUUGGGGGGCAGGGAAUGCAGAGAAAGUUUAAAGGACUAUCACUAGCGUGAAAGAGAAAGCUAAGAUUGCUAGAAUGAAAAUUCAAAAUUGGCAACGAAGAGAUGAAGGAGAAGAUGAAGUCUUUGUGCUUCUCCUUGACUCUAUAUUGUAGCAGAGACAUGUCUUCUUUAAUUUGUUCAACAACGAACGGACUGAAGGCUGUAUCCCUCUGAAGUAUUUAUUAUUUCUCUCCUUACAGAUACUCCAUGCAGCCAGUAAGAAUAUUGACAUGAACAGGGGACACCUCCAGUUUGAUUUUGCCUGCUCAAUCAUAUCCAAAUGUGAGAUGUGAUGAUUUUACCAGCGGAUCUCGAGGAUUUCCCAAUAGCGCAUACUAAAUUGGCAUGUGAAAAUCAUGUGUGUUAUGUGCUACCUCUUGAGCACUGCGUUGGUUUUCCCUUGAAGAGGAAAGGGUGACGCAGCAAAGUAGCAUAAGUAUUUCCCUCAGUUUUGAGAACCAAGGUAUCAAUCCAGUAGGAGGCUACACGCAAAUCCUUGUACCUACACAAACAAAUAAGAACCUUGCAACCAACGCGAUAAAGGGGUUGUCAAUCCCUUCACAACCACUUGCAAAAGUGAGAUCUAAUAGAGAUAAUAAUGAGAUAAAUAUUUUUGGUAUUUUUAUGAUAUAGAUUGGAAAGUAAAGAUUGCAAAAUAAAAUAAAUCAGAAACUUAUAUGAUAGAAAAUAGACCCGGGGGCCAUAGGUUUCACUAGUGGCUUCUCUCAGGAUAGCAUAAGUAUUACGGUGGGUGAACAAAUUACUAUCAAGCAAUUGAUAGAAAAGUGCAUAGUUAUGAGAAUAUCUACGCAUGAUCAUGUAUAUAGGCAUCACGUCCGCGACAAGUAGAUCGAAACGAUUCUGCAUCUACUACUAGUACUCCACACAUCGACCGCUAUAUAGCAUGCAUCUAGAGUAUUAAGUUCAUAAGAACAGAGUAACGCAUUAGGCAAGAUGACAUGAUGUAGAGGGAUAAACUCAAGCAAUAUGAUAUAAACCCCAUCUUUUUAUCCUUGAUGGCAACAAUACAAUACGUGCCUUCCUGCCCCUGCUGUCAACUUGGAAAGGACACCGCAAGAUUGAACCCAAAGCUAAGCACUUCUCCCAUUGCAAGAAAGAUCAACCUAGUAGGCCAAACCAAACUGAUAAUUUGAAGAGACUUGCAAAGAUAACCAAUCAUACAUAAUAGAAUUUAGAGGAGAUUCAAAUAUUUCUCAUAGAUAAACUUCAUCACAAACCCACAAUUCAUCGGAUCUCGACAAACACACUGCAAAAAGAGUUACAUCAAAUAGAUCUCCAAGAAGAUCGAGGAGAACUUUGUAUUGAGAUUCAAAGAGAGAGAAGAAGCCAUCUAGCUAAUAACUAUGGACCCGAAGGUCUGUGGUAAACUACUCACACUUCAUCGGAGAGGCUAUGGUGUUGAUGUAGAAGCCCUUUGUGAUUGAUUCCCCCUCCGGCGGAGCACCGGAAAAGGCCCCAAGAUGGGAUCUCACGGCUACAGAAGGUUGCGGUGGUGGAAAUAGGGUUUCAUGGUGCUCCUGGAUGUUUUCAGGGAAUGUGGAUAUAUAUAGGCAAUGGAAGUCAGUCAGGGGAGCCACGAGGGGCCCACGAGGGUGGGGGCGCGCCUCCCUGCCUCGUGGCUUCCUUGUUUGCUUCUUGACGUCCACUCCAAGUCCCAUGGAUUGCGUUUGUUCCAAAAAUAACUCUCCCAAAGGUUUCUUUCUAUUUGGACUCCGUUUGAUAUUCCUUUUCUGCGGAACACUGAAAUAGGCAAGAAAACAACAAUUUGGGCUGGGCCUCCAGUUAAUAGGUUAGUCCCAAAAUAAUAUAAAAGUGCUUAGUAAAGCCCAUUAAACAUCCAAAACAGGUAAUAUAAUAGCAUGGAACAAUCAAAAAUUAUAGAUACGUAGGAGACGUAUCAAGCAUCCACAACCUUAAUUCAUGCUCGUCCUCGAGUAGGUAAAUGAUAAAAACAGAAUUUUUGAUGUGGAAUACUACCUAGCAUAUUUCUCAAUGUAAUUUCUUUAUUGUGGCAUGAAUGUUCAGAUCCAAAUGAUUCAAGAUAAAGGUUCAUAUUAACAUAAAAACAGUAAUACUUCAAGCAUACUAACAAAGUAAUCAUGUCUUAUCAAAAUAACAUAGCCAAAGAAAUCUUAUCCCUACAAAAUCAUAUAGUUAGGCUAUGCUUGAUUUUCGUCACACAAAAUACUCCCAUCAUGCACAAUCCCAGUUUUCAGCCAAGCAAUUGGUUCAUACUUUUUAAUGCGCUUCAGCUUUUUCAACCCUCACGCAAUACAUGAGCGUAAGCCAUGGAUAUAACACUAUGGGUGGAAUAGAAUAUGAUGAUGGAGGUUGUGUGGAGAAGACAAAAGGGAGAAAGUCUCACAUUGACGUGGCUAAUCAACGGGCUAUGGAGAUUCCCAUCAAUUGAUGUCAAUGCGAGGAGUAGGGAUUGCCAUGCAACGGAUGCACUAGAGCUAUAAAUGUAUGAAAGCUCAACGAAAGAAACUAAGUGGGUGUGCAUCCAACUUGCUUGCUCACAAAGACCUAGGGCAUUUUGAGGAAUCCCAUCAUUACAAUAUACAAGCCAAGUUCUAUAAUGAAAAAAUUCCCACUAGUAUAUGAAAGUGACAACAUAGGAGACUCUCUAUCAUGAAGAUCAUGGUACUACUUUGAAGCACAAGUGUGGAAAAAGGAUAGUAAAAUUGUCCCUUCUCUCUUUUUCUCUCAUUUUUUCUUUCUUUUUUUAUUUUGGUGGGCUUCUUUGGCCUCUUUUUUUAUUUGGGCUUCUUUGGCCUCUUUUAUUUCUCAUAAAGUCCGGAGUCUCAUCCCGACUUGUGGGGGAAUCCUAGUCUCCAUCAUCCUUUCCUCACUUGGGACAAUGUUCUAAUAAUGAAGAUCAUCACACUUUUAUUUACUUACAACUCAAGAAUUACAACUCAAUACUUUAGAACAAAAUAUGACUCUAUGUGAAUGCCUCCGGCGGUGUACAGGGAUAUGCAAUGAAUCAAGAGUGACAUGUAUGAAAGAAUUACAAAGGUGGCUUUGCCACAAAUACGAUGUCAACUACAUGAUCAUGCAAAAGCAAUAUGACAAUUAUGGAGCGUGUCAUAACACUACAAAAAAAGACACAUCCGUGACAUUUUGGGCCGAACAGAAUUUUUUUCUGUCAUACAUAUGACACUUCUAUGACGAUAAUUAUGACAAAACCGGGUAUCAUCAUAGAUGUGGUGGGCUCCUACUUCUAUGACAAAAAAUCAUGACAGAAAAUGGGCUUUUCAUCCUGUGCGGGCUGGAGACGCAGCUGCAUGACAUUCUUUGGGCCGUCCAUGACAGAAAAAACCGUGGUAGAAGCGAGGGGGAGGAAAAUUUCGGGGAGUUCCCGGUUACGGUGGGAGGUCGGGGGCCGACCGAUGCGUGUUUCUCUCGUACACGUCGCGUGUGUGUGCGAGGUGUUGGCUCUAACUGAACCCGAGCAAUGCGUUGGGCUCUAACUGAACCCGAGUGAUUGCACUGCAGGCUACGCGUUACUGAACCCGAGCAAUCGAUCGAUGGCUGUUAACUGAACCCGAUCGAGCGAUUCCUUCGCUACUGCUGCUAACUAAAGUCGAUCGAUUGGAUGAACAGUGNNNNNNNNNNNNNNNNNNNNNNNNNNNNNNNNNNNNNNNNNNNNNNNNNNNNNNNNNNNNNNNNNNNNNNNNNNNNNNNNNNNNNNNNNNNNNNNNNNNNNNNNNNNNNNNNNNNNNNNNNNNNNNNNNNNNNNNNNNNNNNNNNNNNNNNNNNNNNNNNNNNNNNNNNNNNNNNNNNNNNNNNNNNNNNNNNNNNNNNNNNNNNNNNNNNNNNNNNNNNNNNNNNNNNNNNNNNNNNNNNNNNNNNNNNNNNNNNNNNNNNNNNNNNNNNNNNNNNNNNNNNNNNNNNNNNNNNNNNNNNNNNNNNNNNNNNNNNNNNNNNNNNNNNNNNNNNNNNNNNNNNNNNNNNNNNNNNNNNNNNNNNNNNNNNNNNNNNNNNNNNNNNNNNNNNNNNNNNNNNNNNNNNNNNNNNNNNNNNNNNNNNNNNNNNNNNNNNNNNNNNNNNNNNNNNNNNNNNNNNNNNNNNNNNNNNNNNNNNNNNNNNNNNNNNNNNNNNNNNNNNNNNNNNNNNNNNNCCGUAUGAGGUCCGUUUCGUCCGUUUUGUGGUACGCCACACCCCUCCCGAUCAACAGGACCCCCGUUUCGACCGUAGCGCUCCAACACAAGUCCGUUUCGUCCGUUUUGCGGUACGCCAUGCCCCUCCCGAUCAACAGGACCCCCAUUUUGACCGUAGGAGGUCCGUUUCCUCCAUUUUGCGAUACGCCAGACCCCUCCCGAUGAACAGGAUCCCGUUUCGAACGUGGCCGGUCGAACACAAGGCCGUUUCUUCCGUUUUGCGGUACGCCAGGCCUUGUUUCCAUCGCCUGUUCCGUCCAAGCCCUCCCGAUGAACUCGCCCACGCGUUCCCUUCCGACCUAGCCGGUUGGCUCCCACGCGUUCCGUUGCCUCCUGAUGAACACGACCCAUUCCGUUGCCUCCCCAUGAACACGACGCAUUUCAUUGCCUCCCCAUGAACAUGACGCAUUCCGUUGCCUCCCCAUGAACACGACGACGAUGUUGUUUCUCCGUUCCGACCCAGCCAUUUAUACGAGCCUUGGCCGUACGUAUGCACGAGUAGGCGUUCGAGACCCCGCCCGUAUGUACGUACGUGGCCUAUUUUCUUUCUUGCACCCUGGCCAUUGUACGUACGUGUACAUGCUACAUGCGCGCCUCUACUAUGACACGUGCGCACCUCUACUACGACAUGUGCGCGCCUCUACAUCGACCACCAUGUACGUACACGUUCGCGACCAGAAUGACAACGCUACGUACACUUCGACCAGGUGGGUCCCAACUGUCAGGCACUUCCUUGCCUGCGAAGAUGUAGCUGGUGGGUCCCAGCAGUCAGGGGGGUGAAUCGUUUUCUUUUUUUUUGCCCGGGCGCACUUCCUUGCGUGCGAAGAUGUAGCUGGUGGGCCCCAACAGUCAGGGGGAAACAUUUUUUUCAUGAAAUACGGUGGCCCGUCUGAUGGGUCCCCGCUAUCAGGUGGAGGAAUAAAUAUUUUCCGCGUAAUAAGGAGGCACUUCCUUGCUGCGCCCGUGGACCCAGCUGUCAUCCUCUCCACGUACAGUCCACGUUCGAUGGAAGCCGUUCCUUGACCAUGUUGACCACACCGCGCCGAGAGCACCAGUGCGGUGGACAACGGCGAGGCCUAGGAAGGGGACGACGCAGAGCCGGGGAAGACGCGGCAGUGGAUGGCCACGCGUAGAGGAGUAUGAGGGUUCACUCGUUCGGGUGCAGUGUGAGGCUGCCGUCGUCGCAGAAUAACAGGGGGUGUGGGUGCGUAGAGGGAUGGCCUGGCCAGCGGUGGGAGUAGUAGGGGGCGGUGAGGCCUCCGCGGCAUCACAGCCGGCCACGGGCGGCAGGAGCAGGUGACACGACUGGCGCUGCUUUGGUGGCUGGAGCAAGAAGACCAGAGAUUGAAGAAGCACUACGGCCGUUGGAUGGACAUCGUACGGUCACUUGAGCUAGAAUCAUUCAUAUAUUGACUAAAGUUGACAAAGGCCUCCAUCCCAGUCAACUUAGUAGGCCCACAAGUCAGUCUCCCACCAAGGUGGGUCCUAGCUAGCAGGGGGUAUUCAUUUUUUUGUGCGUAAUAAUGAGGCACUUCCGAUGGGUCCGAGCUGAUAGCGGGGGAAUGUUAUUUUCGCGAAAUACGGUGGCCCGUCAUGUGGGUCCCAGCAGUCAGGGGGAAAGGUUUUUUUCGUGAAAUACUGGUGGCCCGUCCGGUGGGUCCCUGCUGUUAGGUGGAGGAAUAAUUAUUUUCCGCGUAAUAAGGAGGCACUUUCUUGCGGCUGCAGUGGACCCAGCUGUCAGCCUCUCCAUGUAUAGUACUCUUCCGAUAGAAUUCGAUCGUUGACCACAUUGACCAUGCCACGCCGAGAGCACCAUGGAGGUGGACGACAGCGAGGCCUAGGAAGGGGACAACGCGGAGCUGGGGAAGACGCAACAGUGGAAGCCCGCGCGGAGAGGAGUACGAGGGUUCACCGGCUUGGCUAUGGUGUGGGGCUGCUGUCGCCGCAGAAUAACAGGGAGUGUGGGUGAGUAGAAGGAUGCCCUGGCCUGCGGUGGGAGUAGUAGGGGGCGCUGAGGCCUGCGCAGCAGCACAGCCAGCCAUGGGAGGCGGGAGCAGGCGGUCCCGCCGGCGCUGCUUUGGCGGCUGGAGCAAAAAGAUCAGAGAUUGAAGAAACACGACGACCGUUGGAUUGACAUCCAACGGUUACCUCUUCUAUAAUCGUUUGUUGACGUAUAUAAUAACUAAAAAAAUCUUGCAUACGCGUCAACUAAACAGGCCCACAAGUCAGACCACUCCCUCUUUUUUUUUAAGAAUUUAUAUAUAGCUCAUGGCAACUUCUUAUGGAAUUUAUUACAGUCGUUUUUUUGGUUGGCCAGGGCCAAUUUCGCAUAUUUCUGUGGGUUCCAAACUAUUUUUAAUACCGAAAUUUCGAGCCAGAUUUAAAGUACUUUGAAGAUGUAUUUAAAUUAGGUUAAUGCCCAGUGAAAUAGGAAUCUGAAAAUGUGAAAAAAUUCAGAAAUUAUAAAGUAAUUGCCAAUUUGUCAUCUGUUUUUAUAUUUACAACCCAUUUCAUAUUACUUUCAAGAUUUGUAGGCGUCUUGAAAGAGUUACAGCCCAUCAGGGCGUAGAAAAAUAAGUAGGCCUAGAUUGGGUAUUCUUCAGAAAAAAUAAACUGGGCUCAUUUUCACAAAGAAAAAAGAGCUGGGCUGGUCACAUGGUGAACAUAAAAUAUAAGCCUGGGCUAGACGGGCCACAGCCCAGUUCAAACCCUGCUCCGUCUCAACAAUACCAAACAAAAAAAAUACUGCUCGAGUAGCUACGUCCCAGGUGUCAGCCGAUCUUGUGCUGUUCUCUUGUCUAUUGACUAUAUACGCUCACAAUGUCGUGGGUCUGAGAUGUCAGGAAAACACUAGGAGGAAGCAUUUUAUUUUUCCAUACGCUGACAUGGUGGGCCCCUACUGCCAUCCUCUCCACGUACUUCUGCCGAUUCCUGUUGUUUGUUGACCAUGUUGACAACGCGAGAGGGAGGCGCCGCGGCGAGCGCACCAAAGCGCGUAAAGGACGUCAGUGUUAACAAUUUAGGAGACGGUGGGGCGGCGAUGCGUGCGCUGAGGCACAGCCAGCUGUGGCAGGCGGAAGCAGGCGGCCCCGCCGGCGUUGGUUUGGUUUUGGCGGCUGGAGGAAGACAGGACUGAAGAAACACGACAGACUGUAAAAGCAGCAGGAGUACUUAACAACCUUAACUGAAACCAGCAGGGGCACUUAACAACCAAAGUUGAAAGCAGUAUGAGUACUUAUACAGGUUCAACCAUACAAAGCACGCCUCGAACAGUGCUACUUUGCCUACAGUUAACCAAGGGUGAGGCCGCCAAGCCCCAGGACAAGGCCCAGGCGCCACGCCGCGCAUCCACAACCUUCUAAAAGCGGCUUCAUCUCGCAACAUGGUCAAUAAACAAGAUAUUCGCUUUAGAGCCAUGGAAAAGCAUGAACAUAAUCUUCUGUCCUAUUCUCCAAGAUGGACGGGCCUUCAUUAUUUGAGACCACCCAUGAAUAAGUAUCUUUUCACCUCCAAGGGGAAUUGAGUAGGUCGACAUAAACAUCAUGUUGUGACCAAGCGCAAGUCUGACCCGACCAUGGUCAGGCAUCUGUAUAGGAACAAUAGAACUCGGUAGUUCCUAUUUCAACAAGAUCACAGCUGUAAAACUGUGUAUAAGCAAUAGUUUAUGAACAACAUAUAUAACAGAAAACAGCUCGUACCAUAAGUUUCUCUACACAGUUGGACCUGUUCAACAAGUGCAGCAGUGGCACACAUAUCCCACGUGGCCUUCCAACAUUGAAACGCCCCACAAGGACCUCAAGACGAUCAAUAAAGUGUAGGAACUUGUGGAUGUCGAUCUAGUUAACUUCAGUGCCAUUAGUAACAGCCGAGUUAUUACAGAGUAACAAACGAGCAGACUGCUUAACUCUGAAAAAACCUACACGUGCCACCAAUUAUAAGAAAAUAUUAGUUAGAAGUAGCAUAUUCAUGGGAGAUUCGUUGCUACUUCUAAAGUUAAAUUGUGAUUAGUUAGAUAGAAUAGGUGGAUUAAGAAGUAAUUGAGGCAACAAGCAAGAACUAGAUACAAAACUAACAUGGAUGAACAAUUGGAAUGACGUCGGGGUGGAAGAUCACAGUGAAGAUGAGACCAGGUUCUGCUAUUUCCAUCAACAUUAAUGCGCCAACUUUCAGUCCAUAACACUUGAGAAAGUUUAUCCAAGUUUGGCCAUAAAAAAAGCAGCAAUCUUCUUGGUUCAUGAACCCAGCUUGGAAGUAAUAUCCAUGGCUUGUCUUCACUGUGACCAUUAAACUAGUGUAUUCAGUUAUGGCAAGGCCGAGCAUCUUGAGUACACGUGUUCUGGCAGAGCAAAUAAUACACUGCAGGAAAAAUAAUAUGAGAACACAACAUGUUCAAAAAAAACCCACCCUCCCGGAUAGAAAAGAGGAUUCUAGGAACAUAAUGUGCGGGUUUCAAAAUGCUGUGUUAGGAUGAGAAGGAACAAGUGUGGCGUCUCGCCGAGGGCGUAGAAACCUGUAGGGUACUCGCACUUUGGGACUGGAAAUGAAACACACUAGAUUUAGUAGGAAGAAAAAUGCAUCAACGGCGGCGGCUGCCAUCCUAGGAUUACCUGCGACCAAGGGACUUGGAUUUAUCGGGGAUGGAUGAAGAAUUUGUACCUGGUUAUCCAUGAGAAAACCCUAUGCAAUCGCCGAGCGAGGGUUUUCUCUGAACAAGCAGACGAGGGAGAAGGGGAUUCAGGCCCAGUGAAAUAUUGUCGCUUCGUCCAUCCAGCUUACUGCUAAAGCUGGAAAGGGGGGGGUGUGAUUUGACGGCUCAUUGGGCAUUAUUGCGGCGCUACGACCGGGGUGUGUCUACCAUGAAGUUGUGCACUCAAAUUUGUGCAUAUGGCACGUGGACCCCGUUGUCGGUUGCCCCACAUAUCAAUGAAAGGAAGUAGAAAGACAGGAGUAACUAGUUACACAUAAUUAUUUUUUUGACAGAGAGAUACUCCAUCUGUAAAGAAAUAUACAAAUAUUUUAUAUCACAGGCUCACCUUGCCGAGAAAUAUACUCCCUCUGCAACGCACGGGCAUUAUGGGGGUUCAGCUUUUUUAUGGGGGUUCAGCUGAGAAUAUAAUACUCAGAUAGGCUCACGGUUCUGGACUUCGGGCCGCAGGCCGACCCUGCAUGUUUGGGGGCCCAUGUGUUCUACCUCAGUGCUUUUCAUAUUGCAAGCGAUCGGUACGGCGCUGGUUUUAGAUGCUGUCGCAAGGCGAAUACACAAAAUUGAAUAAAGCAUGACAGAUGUUGGAAUGAAAUUGAACGGCAGUUCCUAACCAACAAUCAGAGUUGCAAUUCUAUCAAUGAUAUACCAUGUGAUAAAUAAUACUGUCGUACUACUUAUACACAUAGGACACUUGUUUCACCAUGCCAGAUUAUUACAUCAAAAUCUCUCAGAGGAUAGAUCAGUUCGGUAGUUGUGUGCUGCUACUGAAUAAUUUCAAAGUUGAUUUGGACCAGCUCUCCUUGCCGAGAAAGUUCGAUUUUGACAUCAUCCCCUACCGCAAGAUAUGAUUUAAAUUUGAACCUUGACCAUCCUUUAGCAUCAAUCAUCAUGCGACCAUCCUUUGUACUUACGGUAUAUUGAGCAGGUUCAUUCACACCAAGGCUACGCAUGGUAAGAGAAACUUGGCCACGGUCGCCCUGAUUGUUGAACAACUCCCUCGUUGCUCUAGAAAUUCUCUGUUUGCAAACAAGAAGACAUACCCAAAAAGUUAGAUCAACACAGUGAAUCAUGUGAAACAACAUGGAAAGAAAAAAAGAACGAAGCACUUGGGCGGCCAAUGCUUACCAAGAAGGUGGACAUGUCGGUUUUUGUAAGGACUUUGGUAUAUGAAGUGCGAACUGCAGCCCAGUCUGUUGCCAGUGCAACUGCACGGGCCGGAGCAGAUGCAAGUGCAAGUGUUGGUGCAGGUGUCUAAGCCGUUGCUGCUGCCGGAGAUGGUGCUCCUUGUAGAGCUGGUGCCGGUGUCGGAGCAGGUGCCGGUGUUGAUACCCGAUCCUCCGGUAGAUCAGACUGAUCUGCUGACGCGGUCGGUGCCCAAUCCUCAGCUGGAUCAGACUGAGCUGCUGCCGCUGUCAGUGCUAGAGCAACUCUCGGUGCUCGAUCCGUUGUUGAAGGUGGUACCGAUGUGCGAGACAGCGGCGAUCGUGUCUCGUCUGCUAUGAUCAGCUUUCUAACUUGACUAGGAUCCAUGACCGUGAUCCAGUUUUUUUUCUUCAUUUCUUUUAAACGCGAGAAGGACUAAUUGUGGUGUUUUUGUUAAACCAAACUGUAGUUCAUCAUAGGGAUUCAGCUUGUACUCAGACAACAGAAUGAUCCGAUUUUUUCCAGUAAUAUAAGUGAUGGACAGUGCCUUUGUUACUGACACGACAUAAGAAGUGAAACCUGCAAAAAUAGCCAUCGUAGAGCAAACCAAACGGUUUAUUCUGUGAUGAAUGUCACAUGGCAAAACCUGCAUCGUAAAAUUGCAGGAAAUGAAAGAAAACAUGGCAUUAAAUAAAUAAGAUUUAGAUAGUAAAUCAAUAAGAUUUACUUGAUGUGACACUAGUGAAUCCUUACCAGGAAAUCACUAUGUUGAAGUACUAAACAGAAGAUUGAUCGUCCAACUACGCGUGGCAUGCAGGGGCCCCGCCUACUCCCACAAGCAGGACAGUCCAAAGGUCGUGACAAAUCGUAUGGACUGAACGUCCAUGGGACUGGCAAUCCUGGUGGGUGCGAUAAACCCUGCAAUGCAUACAGAUAUUGGAGUGUAACCAUAAUUGAUAAACCGUCCUCACAAAAAAUAUGAUCUGGAUACUUCAAAAUAUACAGACUGAAUUGAGUGGACAGACAUUAACAUAGACCGUUCUUAGGACUGACCACACACCAAAAGCGGCAGUACUAAUAAACAAUACAGGGUUCAUAAACACAAAUCAAGUACUGAACAAUAGUCCUUACUACAGACAAGCAAAGUUGCACUAACUAAACUCUAUAGACUAUUUCUUGCCACCGACCUACGGGAUGAACCCCGCAUAACUGACUAGGCCAUGGACUUCGUGUGAGAUGUCUACAUGCACCAUCACCAUCUUGUCAACCUUGGAGAACCUAACAGAGUGGUCUUUCCACUCAUAAACAUGAUGAUGAAGUCAGGGCCGCAUCAGAUUUGUUGGGAAGCUUUACAAGAACCACACCCUUCGUAAUCGAAGGCACAACCAGGAAAUUGUUGUGGUCAAGUACAGCCUCGAGAACACGCCUGACAACAAUGCUACAGGAAAACACUAGUUCAGGACAUGUGGCGACAAGGACACAGCAGCUGGAUAAUUCAGCAGUAGAACUCAUCAUCAGGUCUUCCAGUUCACACGACAUGACUUUGAGAACUUCAUCUCCAUCGCGGACCUGGUUCUAAUUCAAACAGAAACCAUAUUUUAUUAAUACCUCCGUUCAGAAAUAUAAGAUGAUUUUCGAUAUUAUACUCCAUAUAUGACUACAUAUACGCAUAGAAAUGAGUGAACAAAGACACUAGAACAUGUCUUCAAAGGCAUGAGAGCAUAGGGAUUACAUGCAAUAUCCGAACACAAGUUACUGAGGCAAAUAUACCCUCUUAAAAGGUAGCAUUGAUGUUCAUAAAGUACUCCCUCCAUCCCAAAAUUCUUGUCUUAGAUUUGUCUAGAUACGGAUGUAUCAAGUUGAUACAUCCGUAUCUAGACAAAUCUCAAACAAGAAAUUUGGCAUAGAGGGAGUAGUUGAAAGUAAUCUAUAAGAAAUCAGUGUCAACCUCUCGCAUGUUUUGGUCAAAAGAGGAAUUUAGAACCAUCAUUUGGCACACUAAAAUCACAUGCAAGAUCACCCAGAAAGUUGUACUACCAGUACUAGUACUGCGUGUUAGAUGAAAAAACACGAUCAAGAUCGAGAAAAAGAUCGUCAACAAGAGACAUUACCUUGACUUGCUUAAUGAGGGAUCCCGGAGAGGGGGGCUUGGACAGGGCGAUGGCUUUGAGCUUGUCUGUGGUAGUCUCGGCGGGGUGCUUGCACUUCUUCGUACCAUGAGUCUCGAUGGUUCUGGCCAGAUCCAUAGACAUCACGUCGGCCGAUGCUCCGGCGUCCAUCCAAGAGAGGAAGCUGAGAGAGAAGAGUGAAAGGAGGAACAAGAUGAGGGAGAAGCGAAGCGAGUGGGGGUUUUCUUCAAGAGAGGAAGCUGAGAGAGAAGAGUGAAAUGAUGGUUGCUUCGUCCGUCCAACUUACUGCUGGAAAGGAGGGGGUUUUGUGAUUUGACGGCUCAUUGGGCAUUACUGCGGCGGUUCGAUCGGGGUAGUCUACCAUCACUGUACUACAGAGUAAUUUAGUGCAUGGCUGGUGGACCCAGGUGCUGGCUGUCCCACACGUCAGCGAAAGUGACUAAUUUAGUGCAUGGCUAGAGGAGGAUCCGCACGGUAGAGCGUGUCCACUGCUUUUCUGAAGAAGAAAAAUGAUUACAGCAAGCGUUUCCACUCUUACGAUGGAGGAGUGCGAAACACGACAGCCACUUGAACAUACACAGUGCUCCUACUACUAGGCAUGUGCAGUGGUUCAUACGUCAGUACUACACAAUCUUGUUGCUAGUGUAGUAAGAUAUGAUGAUAACAAAUGAUGCUGUGCGCAUGUCAACUACUCCUAUAUGUAACAUAGUACCGCUUUUUCGACUAUCCGGUCAAGAAUGAACGGUGAGAUCAAUGUUAACAGAACUAGGUCCACAGCGCACGGAGAGUACGGUGCUACAGUACUCCAUGAAACAUGAACCAUAUGAAGCACGAAUAGUGUUAGGCAGGGUGUAUGAAGGGUGCACGGGAUGGGAGCAAAAGUUCCGUUGUCGACGCACUUUUGGGUGUUUGGCAGAGUGCAUGAAGGGUGCAUGAGUCCACACUAGUAGUUUGACAAAAACACACGAAGCGGAAACAACUAUAUUGAGAUGAGAAUGCAACCAAACACAUCCACACGCUUUGUGAUACAGUGACUGAUCUGCACCGUCUGAGAUUGAUCCAACGAUCAUGUUGCGCCGAGACAUGGACAUGCCCAUGCAGAGGGCGCCUAAACACCACCAAAGUCCCUCUGCUUCUCGAGGCGCAUGACGUUGGUGAUGCAGGGUGCAACCGCCCGCAGAGCUCGCUCCCGGUCGACGGGAGCCAGCUCGUCAAAGACGGUGUCCAAUGGCAUGAAUGGAUUCCGGUGACAGAGCCCUGAAAGGAUUCACCCAACAACAGCGACGGUAGCCCGCAACCCCUCCUUGUCCAGCUCAACCCCCACCAUCGCACGGAGACGGCUCAGCUCCUCGGAGAUAUAGGUGAAGAAUGAGACCAGGUCAGGAAGCCGCAACUCGUUGAAGUCGACUGGGUGGUCGAGCGGGUUUAGCCUGACGGCCGGCAUCAUCGUGCUGGCACGACGGUAGGCAUCUUGCAGCCACAACACGUGUGUGGCAACUUGGUUCACCAAGUGGCUGAGGUGAUCCUGGACCUUGUCACGAUCGGCCCGCUCGCGCUCCAUCCGGCUCCCCUGAUGGCCUACCGUGUCUCCCACUUUCUACAGCAACGCUGCCGACGCCUCGAGCAUCUUUGUGGUGGACGCCUGUCGCUUUUGAAGCUCCGUGAACUCCCGCACAUAACGGAGGAGUAUGGCACUCCUCUCCUCCUUGAGCUCACGAAGCUCCACGUCCUUGGCCCUGAGCUCCGCAUCCUUGGCAUGGAGCUCCUGUGUUAGGCGCCUCACCUCGAACUCCGUGAUCUGCUGCGCCGCCAUGGCACCAGGUAGAAGCAAUGGGGAGAGGAAGCAAAGGGGGCGAAAUGGCUGAAAGGCAAUGCAAUCUACGGGAAGGUGGAGGGACCCAGCCAAGGAGCGGGGAAUCUUUUGGUUUUCACCACGGUAAAACACACCAGUCGACGACUUCUCACAUCAGGGAGCAGUGGGUUUUUACAGGCGGAGUCAUCAUGACUAAUUGCUGCCGCGCCUGCUCCCAUCAAUCAAAAAAUUAAAAAUCCUGCCAUGCCUGCUCCUGUCAAUAAAAAAAUUAAAAAUCCUGCCGCACCCAAACACCAGAGCAAUGCCGUAGUGGAUAUUUAAAUUUACCUGCCGACAAGUAGAUAAAAAAGGGGUGAAAAAACAAAUGUGGCGGCGGCCUAGCUAAUCGGUCAAACUAUCCCAAUUAGCUAGCCACCGUGCUUCACUGAUGUACUCGACGGGAAAGGUUGUCUUUCAUGAUUUGACGACUCAUUUACUUGCUUUGGUGCUACGACCGAGGAGGACCCAGAAAACACGCGGUAGGGCAUCCCAUGUCAGGAAGAAUAUAUGCGUGCACCACCCGGGAGGACCCCGAAACCGCGCGGUAGGGUGUGCCACGUCUCGGCAUGGAGGAAAAAUGUGCGUGUAAAAAUAUAAUGUAUCAGACGUAGUACCUAUGGUUUGACCUCGGGACCUAGCCAGUCGGUCGAAAACACCCCACUAGGCACACAGCUUCAUCAUGCAAACGUGGCAUGGAGGAUAGAUGUGGUUAGCUCCGUCUCGACAGCCACAAUGUCUCUUGUUCUAGGCGAUUCUUCUAUUUUCCAAGCUUUUUUUAGUUGUAAUAACACCAGGCAAGCUAGUGCCGCUCUUCGUGUGUGCCCGUGCAGAGGUUAGACGAUGGAGAGAAGAGAGGGAUUGAGAUCGCAGACCUGGGACCCACCAGUAAGUGAGACAACGGUCAUGCACGUGUUGACGAGGCACUCCCUCUACUCUAAUCAACGCAAGUACUGUAUAAAAUCAAGUUAUGGAACAAAGCCAACAACCGUUCACUUUUUCAGGCUAUCGACUUACGCUUUGUAGUCCAGGUUGCCAGUUCGAAUCUCGUCUUUCAAAUUUGUUAGUUUUAGGUCCAAAUUUGAUUAAUGACAAGUGGGACCCCCGUGUGUUGUUCCGAUAUUUCAGUGUAGGAUGGUAUUCUUGAACAAACACUUUGCGCGGUUAGACAAGUAACAACAUGAGUUACACGUAUUUUACAAGUUUACAAACAAAAAUGACAGCGGCAUAGAAUAUCACAUCCACCCCGCAGCUUAGAUACUAUGGUGAUACGAGUUUUUACACCGUUGGAAGUGAGAUCCAAUGGCUUGGGAGUAGUCUUUGUAAUUAUGCGCAAUUUCCAAACUCUCCAAAGGUUUUUUUUUGCAAAUAAAACAUUCAGGCCUCGUGUAUGCCGCUGCAUCUUCGAUCCAACGGCUCCCCGUUGCUCAUAUUAGGUGCUCCCCGUAACUUAAUUACCCGCUGAUCAAUUGAAAGUACAGUGGGGUUUUUACGCCCAAAUUGCGAGUGUCGUGUUCUCCUCAGGGACUAGGCGACGACGACUAUGCUCGACUAAAGCUAGGUGACAGAAUACAGAUGAUGAUUGCAAGGAAAUAAACCUAAACUAAACAGGGUAGUUCCUGAAGAUCAUCGCCAAAGAAAAUGCAAAAUAAGCAAAGAGAGAUUCAGAUUUUCUAUACUCUCUUUUUGGCAAUUUCCAUAUUACUCGAAGAAUUUAAUGCUAACACAAGAAAACAUACGGCUAGGAAAUUAAAAAGACAAGAACAUAUAUAUAACUAUCUAACAUGAACAGUGGGAAGAAACAAGAACUUGAGCUAAUACAUGGACUACAAAACUGAAUAUAUUUCUGCAGAAAAGGGAAGACACUGUGACGACACAUACAUGAACUGGAAUUACGUAAAUUCAGUGCAAGUGACAAGCAUACAUGUACCACACGGUUGACAAAUAUAACAUUCACGAACUUAUUUUAUAUAGAUGCAUCAACUAGUCAGAUCCCAGAAAACAAACACUAUAUUAUACAAGUACUAAACAGAGCAAACAGCUGUUUACAUGUACUCUUCAAAUCUGAACCUUACAAGUCUUGAACAUCUCUCAAUACUAUAGAAUUUCAGAGAGAGAGAGAGAGAGAGAGAAGGCAACAGCAGGAGGUUGAGAGAGAAGAAGCAGUAGCAGGGGGCGUUGAGAGGAGGGAGAAGGAGCAGCGGGGCAAAGGAAGAUGGAGUAGCAGCAACGACUUGGAGUUUGGAGAUGGAGAAGGAGCAGAACAACAGCGUGGUAGGGGAAAGUAGAAGAGCAGCAGCAAUAGGGAUUCAGAGAGGAGGCGAGCUUGGAGAAGGAUAGCAGCAGGGAGAGUUGUAGAUGAGCAGCAGCAGUAGCGCGGGGGAGAAGGAGCAGCAGACAGGGAUUCAGAGAAGCGAGGAAGAAGGGAAGAAGAAGCAGCGGCGGUGUGUCUGGCCGGGCACGCCAACUGGAGGGAGAGGUCGCGCAAGGUGGGCACUGGUGGUUGGCGCUGUGAUGGAUGGAUGAUGGUGUGGGUGGUGGAUGGCGCGGGUGAUGGUGGAGCAACGAGGUCGCCGAAGCGCGUCGCCACGAUGGCCUGGCCGCGGCGGCGGCCGGAGGUGGGAGAAGAAGUGGUGAGGGGGAGAGAGAUGGAGAUGCCAGCUCCCUUUGGGAAUGGAGGCUGCUAGGGAUUUUGAUCCCCUCCGAUCAGAUCUGAAUGUUUUCACUUUGGCCCUCCUUCUUCCUUCUUUUGGCACAAGAUGAUCCCUCAACUCCUUAAGCUAGCCCCCCUAAGCUUUAAUCUUCUUCAAGCUUGAGUCCCUCUUUCUUCUCUUCUUGCCCGUGAUCUUGUUCCUCAAUUCUUUCUAGACAGGAACUUGUAGAUUAUAGUGCCUUGUCGCACUUUUCUGCAAAAGAAACACAAUGACUAGUAAAUGAUUCAUUAUAUGAUUUCCAUGCAAAUAUUCAAUAUUUCACAUCAAGAAUUAAUGGUCAUAUCUCAAUAAACCGCAUAUUUGAGUGCCAAAAGAUGUAUAUGAAAUGUGCUUAUCAAGUUCCCCACACUCAAAUCUUUGCUUGUCCUCAAGCAAAGGCAUAUGACAAAAGCAAGAACAUGAACAGUGAACUGACUAGAGAAUGUCAAGUGAAGUAGAUCUCUAAACAGUGCAUGCUUUGGACUUGGCUAGUGAAAAUUAAUGGUUAAGAGUGCUACAUAUCAAUAGGACACUAGUAAACUCGACCAUUUUAAACUUUUGCAAUGAUAAACGAAGAUUAGCAAGUUCAAAUGCUGAUUGUGCCAAAGGGUUCCUAAAGAGAGCAUGAUCCCAAAAAAAACUUAUUACCAGGAACAUAACAUUAUGGUAGAAGCACUUAUUGAAUUUUAAGGAAGUAAUGGUAAUAUUUUAUUGAUCUCACCAAUGGAACAUACCACCGAUCCCGAGAACAUGGUAUACACCCGGCUUGGCCAAUUAUUAGUUUUUUUUAGUUUGUCUCCCCAAAGGAACAUACCACCGAUCCCGAGAACAUGGUAUACACCUUGUUCGACAAUUACAUUUCUAUAAUUAUUAAUUACUGCCCAAGCUAACCUGAUUUCACAUGCCACCGAUCCCGGGAACAUGACAUGCUACUGUAGGUAGCCAGACUUAUUUAUUCAUUAUUACUUAUCUUAAAUGAACAACACAUAAGAACAAAAACAGGAAUCAUCACUUCUCCAUGUCUGGUUCACAUGCUACCGAUCCAGGGAACAUAGCAUGCUAAUCCAUAGUGGUUAGGUGAUUGCUCUCAAUGGGAAGACACUUGGCACAAAUUCAGCAUCUAAACAUGGUGAUCUAGGUGUAUCAUAGUAAAUGCAGAAAAUGACGAAGUUUUCUAGUGUACUAGGGAUUUGAGCACUCAAAACUAGUAGUUCUCACUAAUUUUAGCAAAGCAUGCAUGGUGUAGAUCACUAGUUUACAAGGCAUCCAAAAAUCAAGUUCACAAAUUCACAUCAAGCACAAUGCCAAAGGUGAGAUUCAGCUUGACAACAAGUAAUAACUGGCUCAAGCAACCCAACUAGCAAUUGAAUUCAGCAUGUAUUUAUGAUAUUCAGAAUGGGUCAUGAAACAGCUCACCGGGCUUAAUGAAGUAGCACUCGCUUGAUCACCUCACCAACUGCAGCUCUUCUCCUUUUCCUUCCUUAUGGAUGCUCCAGCUUCACUCUUCUUCGUGUGUGCCCCAUUGCUUCUCCUCAUCGCCAUGCUCUGACUCCACCAGGAUCCCAAGGAAUGUCACCUCAAACCUGGUCAGCAUGUAGUAAACAGUGCAGUAGCAAAAGCCUGAAAUAGGACUCACACAAACAACUAUAAGUGAUACGGUCGAUGCCCUCCAAGUCAUCAAUGGUAUAUCCAAUUAUAUAAGCAUAACUAUAAAGCACAUGUUUAGGAUGGCAGAAAUCAGCAUGGUCAAUACUCACACGAGGAUGACAUUUAUCAUUAAGCUCAAGACUAGCAUGGAAAUGAUGUGUUUCAUUAAGCAUAGGACUAGCACGAGGAAAGUAACUAUGAUCAUCGCAAAUGAGAGUAAUGCCACUAACAGGGUAUAUAUCAUCAUAUCCAAGCAAAUGAGUUUUCAAAUCAAUCUUAAGUGAUGGUAUCAUGUAAUGCAAGGUGGUAGCAAAGAAAUCACAAGGCAUCAUGUCAUCAAGAGGAUUGAGUAAACCUGACACAUCACGCUCUGGUAUGACAAUAGGCAAAUGAAUCUCAUGUUCUUCAUCUUCAUCUACAGCAGCUUCUUGUACUUCUUCAGGAGUAAUAGAUGAUGAGUCUUCAACUUGAUCACUUGGGAAUUGCAGCUCUUGACCAUCUUGUUCCUUGUCUUCUAGUUCAUCUUCUUCAAUCUGAGGUAUCUCUUGCUCAAGGCACUUGCUAUCUUGCUCAACGAAAUGUGAAGGUGCUGGAACCUCACAUGUAACCAUGGAUAUCUCAGCCACACUCAACUCAAGUUGUGAAGAAAUAGUGCUGCCAGCGUUGAUGUUCUUCUCAAUCUUCCUUACUUCUUCCACUAGCUCUUUUCCACUCUUGAUCUUCUUCAUUUCAUCUAGUAUAACCUUCCUAAUAGGAUCAUCCUCGGCACUCCAACUAAACUCGAGACUAAGCAAUGUGAUCUUUCUAUAUCAUCAAAUUCAUCUUGUGUGGGCACUUGCACAUGAGAUUGCUCGAAAGGUGCUGGAGUUGUUGGUUGACCAAAUGGAGGACCAUUUAACUCCAUUGGACACAUCUCCUGGUAUUGAGGUAUAUGAGUAGGAGGUGAAUAAAUCUAUUGUGGAGCAUAGUUGUGGUUCUCCUCAUUGUACCUGAAUCCCUGCAUUGGAUAACUAGAGGCAAACGAUGAGAUCUCAGGGUUAUUGCUCCUAUAUGACAUAUUCUGGUUUUUAGACCACCCAUGUGUGUAAUUGUUUUGGUAUGAGUUAGGCAGUGGGGCGAAGCUCAUGCCAUAACAAUCGGGAGGAUGGGAGUAACCACACUGACAUUCAGCGGGCGAAUGGCCCUGAAAUCCACAAAUAUGGCAGGUAGGAGCAACAUAAGGAUGGCCUCUGGAAUUAGGAUUGUAAGAACUAGGCCUAUCCUCAAAAACUCCUUCUUGCUGUCGAGCUAAAUCAUCUAAUCGAUGGGAAAUCUUACCUAUCAGUUCUUAAACACUUUCCGUGUUGUUUGUAGUGUUGCUCGCAUAAGCCUGAUGAUCUGAAUAGUAAGCCAUAACCGAGAGGAUAAUCCAACCUGCAAAAAGGAAAAGAAGACAAAAAGAUACUAACUAGAACAGGGGUUAGUGGCUAGAGAUAUAUCACAAAUAUAUAAAGCACAAAAAGGAAACAAGCUAAACCUAGUCUAAAGCCUAGCACAAUCGCUCGAUGCUAGUCCCCGGCAACGGUGCCAAAAUGAUCAGUUGAAAGUACAGUGGGGUUUUUACGCCCAAACUGCGAGUGUCGUGUUCUCCUCAGGGACUAGGCGACGACGACUAUGCUCGACUAAAGCUAGGUGACAGAAUACAAAUGAUGAUUGCAAGGAAAUAAACCUAAACUAAACAUGGUAGUUCCUAAAGAUCAUCGCCAAAGAAAAUGCAAAAUAAGCAAAGAGAUAUUCAGAUUUUCUAUACUCUCUUUUUGGCAAUUUCCAUAUUACUCAAAGAAUUUAAUGCUAACACAAGAAAACAUACGGCUAGGAAAUUAAAAAGACAAGAACAUAUAUAUAACUAUCUAACAUGAACAGUGGGAAGAAACAAGAACUUGAGCUAAUACAUGGACUACAAAACUGAAUAUAUUUCUGCAGAAAAGGGAAGACACUGUGACGACACAUACAUGAACUGGAAUUACGUAAAUUCAGUGCAAGUGACAAGCAUACAUGUACCACACGGUUGACAAAUAUAACAUUCACGAACUUAUUUUAUAUAGAUGCAUGAACUAGUCAGAUCCCAGCAAACAGCUGUUUACAUGUACUCUUCAAAUCUGAACCUUACAAGUCUUGAACAUCUCUCAAUACUAUAGAAUUUCAGAGAGAGAGAGAGAGAGAAGGCAACAGCAGGAGGUUGAGAGAGAAGAAGCAGUAGCAGGGGGCGUUGAGAGGAGGGAGAAGGAGCAGCGGGGCAAAGGAAGAUGGAGUAGCAGCAACGACUUGGAGUUUGGAGAUGGAGAAGGAGCAGAACAACAGCGUGGUAGGGGAAAGUAGAAGAGCAGCAGCAAUAGGGAUUCAGAGAGGAGGCGAGCUUGGAGAAGGAUAGCAGCAGGGAGAGUUGUAGAUGAGCAGCAGCAGUAGCGCGGGGGAGAAGGAGCAGCAGACAGGGAUUCAGAGAAGCGAGGAAGAAGGGAAGAAGAAGCAGCGGCGGUGUGUCUGGCCGGGCACGCCAGCUGGAGGGAGAGGUCGCGCGAGGUGGGCACUGGUGGUUGGCGCUGUGAUGGAUGGAUGAUGGUGUGGGUGGUGGAUGGCGCGGGUGAUGGUGGAGCAACGAGGUCGCCGAAGCGCGUCGCCACGAUGGCCUGGCCGCGGCGGCGGCCGGAGGUGGGAGAAGAAGUGGUGAGGGGGAGAGAGAUGGAGAUGCCAGCUCCCUUUGGGAAUGGAGGCUGCUAGGGAUUUUGAUCCCCUCCGAUCAGAUCUGAAUGUUUUCACUUUGGCCCUCCUCCUUCCUUCUUUUGGCACAAGAUGUUCCCUCCACUUCUUAAGCUAGCCCCCCUAAGCUUUAAUCUUCUUCAAGCUUGAGUCCCUCUUUCUUCUCUUCUUGCCCGUGAUCUUGUUCCUCAAUUCUUUCUAGACAGGAACUUGUAGAUUAUAGUGCCUUGUCGCACUUUUCUGCAAAAGAAACACAAUGACUAGUAAAUGAUUCAUUAUAUGAUUUCCAUGCAAAUAUUCAAUAUUUCACAUCAAGAAUUAAUGGUCAUAUCUCAAUAAACCGCAUAUUUGAGUGCCAAAAGAUGUAUAUGAAAUGUGCUUAUCAAGUUCCCCCACACUUAAAUCUUUGCUUGUCCUCAAGCAAAGGCAUAUGACAAAAGCAAGAACAUGAACAGUGAACUGACUAGAGAAUGUCAAGUGAAGUAGAUCUCUAAACAAUGCAUGCUUUGGACUUGGCUAGUGAAAAUUAAUGGUUAAGAGUGCUACAUAUCAAUAGGACACUAGUAAACUCGACCAUUUUAAACUUUUGCAAUGAUAAACGAAGAUUAGCAAGUUCAAAUGCUGAUUGUGCCAAAGGGUUCCUAAAGAGAGCAUGAUCCCAAAAAAAAACUUAUUACCCGGAACAUAACAUUAUGGUAGAAGCACUUAUUGAAUUUGAAGGAAGUAAUGGUAAUAUUUUAUUGAUCUCACCAAUGGAACAUACCACCGAUCCCAAGAACAUGGUAUACACCCGGCUUGGCCAAUUAUUAGUUUUUUUUAGUUUGUCUCCCCAAAGGAACAUACCACCGAUCCCGAGAACAUGGUGUACACCUGGUUCGACAAUUACAUUUCUAUAAUUAUUAAUUACUGCCCAAGCUAACCUGAUUUCACAUGCCACCGAUCCCGGGAACAUGACAUGCUACUGUAGGUAGCCAGACUUAUUUAUUCAUUAUUACUUAUCUUAAAUGAACAACACAUAAGAACAAAAACAGGAAUCAUCACUUCUCCAUGUCUGGUUCACAUGCUACCGAUCCAGGGAACAUAGCAUGCUAAUCCAUAGUGGUUAGGUGAUUGCUCUCAAUGGGAAGACACUUGGCACAAAUUCAGCAUCUAAACAUGGUGAUCUAGGUGUAUCAUAGUAAAUGCAGAAAAUGACGAAGUUUUCUAGUGUACUAGGGAUUUGAGCACUCAAAACUAGUAGUUCUCACUAAUUUUAGCAAAGCAUGCAUGGUGUAGAUCACUAGUUUACAAGGCAUCCAAAAAUCAAGUUCACAAAUUCACAUCAAGCACAAUGCCAAAGGUGAGAUUCAGCUUGACAACAAGUAAUAACUGGCUCAAGCAACCCAACUAGCAAUUGAAUUCAGCAUGUAUUUAUGAUAUUCAGAAUGGGUCAUGAAACAGCUCACCGGGCUUAAUGAAGUAGCACUCGCUUGAUCACCUCACCAACUGCAGCUCUUCUCCUUUUCCUUCCUUAUGGAUGCUCCAGCUUCACUCUUCUUCGUGUGUGCCCCAUUGCUUCUCCUCAUCGCCAUGCUCUGACUCCACCAGGAUCCCAAGGAAUGUCACCUCAAACCUGGUCAGCAUGUAGUAAACAGUGCAGUAGCAAAAGCCUGAAAUAGGACUCACACAAACAACUAUAAGUGAUACGGUCGAUGCCCUCCAAGUCAUCAAUGGUAUAUCCAAUUAUAUAAGCAUAACUAUAAAGCACAUGUUUAGGAUGGCAGAAAUCAGCAUGGUCAAUACUCACACGAGGAUGACAUUUAUCAUUAAGCUCAAGACUAGCAUGGAAAUGAUGUGUUUCAUUAAGCAUAGGACUAGCACGAGGAAAGUAACUAUGAUCAUCGCAAAUGAGAGUAAUGCCACUAACAGGGUAUAUAUCAUCAUAUCCAAGCAAAUGAGUUUUCAAAUCAAUCUUAAGUGAUGGUAUCAUGUAAUGCAAGGUGGUAGCAAAGAAAUCACAAGGCAUCAUGUCAUCAAGAGGAUUGAGUAAACCUGACACAUCACGCUCUGGUAUGACAAUAGGCAAAUGAAUCUCAUGUUCUUCAUCUUCAUCUACAGCAGCUUCUUGUACUUCUUCAGGAGUAAUAGAUGAUGAGUCUUCAACUUGAUCACUUGGGAAUUGCAGCUCUUGACCAUCUUGUUCCUUGUCUUCUAGUUCAUCUUCUUCAAUCUGAGGUAUCUCUUGCUCAAGGCACUUGCUAUCUUGCUCAACGAAAUGUGAAGGUGCUGGAACCUCACAUGUAACCAUGGAUAUCUCAGCCACACUCAACUCAAGUUGUGAAGAAAUAGUGCUGCCAGCGUUGAUGUUCUUCUCAAUCUUCCUUACUUCUUCCACUAGCUCUUUUCCACUCUUGAUCUUCUUCAUUUCAUCUAGUAUAACCUUCCUAAUAGGAUCAUCCUCGGCACUCCAACUAAACUCGAGACUAAGCAAUGUGAUCUUUCUAUAUCAUCAAAUUCAUCUUGUGUGGGCACUUGCACAUGAGAUUGCUCGAAAGGUGCUGGAGUUGUUGGUUGACCAAAUGGAGGACCAUUUAACUCCAUUGGACACAUCUCCUGGUAUUGAGGUAUAUGAGUAGGAGGUGAAUAAAUCUAUUGUGGAGCAUAGUUGUGGUUCUCCUCAUUGUACCUGAAUCCCUGCAUUGGAUAACUAGAGGCAAACGAUGAGAUCUCAGGGUUAUUGCUCCUAUAUGACAUAUUCUGGUUUUUAGGCCACCCAUGUGUGUAAUUGUUUUGGUAUGAGUUAGGCAGUGGGGCGAAGCUCAUGCCAUAACAAUCGGGAGGAUGGGAGUAACCACACUGACAUUCAGCGGGCGAAUGGCCCUGAAAUCCACAAAUAUGGCAGGUAGGAGCAACAUAAGGAUGGCCUCUGGAAUUAGGAUCGUAAGAACUAGGCCUAUCCUCAAAAACUCCUUCUCGCUGUCGAGCUAAAUCAUCUAAUCGAUGGGAAAUCUUACCUAUCAGUUCUUAAACACUUUCCGUGUUGUUUGUAGUGUUGCUCGCAUAAGCCUGAUGAUCUGAAUAGUAAGCCAUAACCGAGAGGAUAAUCCAACCUGCAAAAAGGAAAAGAAGACAAAAAGAUACUAACUAGAACAGGGGUUAGUGGCUAGAGAUAUAUCACAAAUAUAUAAAGCACAAAAAGGAAACAAGCUAAACCUAGUCUAAAGCCUAGCACAAUCGCUCGAUGCUAGUCCCCGGCAACGGUGCCAAAAUGAUCAGUUGAAAGUACAGUGGGGUUUUUACGCCCAAACUGCGAGUGUCGUGUUCUCCUCAGGGACUAGGCGACAAUGACUAUGCUCGACUAAAGCUAGGUGACAGAAUACAAAUGAUGAUUGCAAGGAAAUAAACCUAAACUAAACAUGGUAGUUCCUAAAGAUCAUCGCCAAAGAAAAUGCAAAAUAAGCAAAGAGAUAUUCAGAUUUUCUAUACUCUCUUUUUGGCAAUUUCCAUAUUACUCAAAGAAUUUAAUGCUAACACAAGAAAACAUACGGCUAGGAAAUUAAAAAGACAAGAACAUAUAUAUAACUAUCUAACAUGAACAGUGGGAAGAAACAAGAACUUGAGCUAAUACAUGGACUACAAAACUGAAUAUAUUUCUGCAGAAAAGGGAAGACACUGUGACGACACAUACAUGAACUGGAAUUACGUAAAUUCAGUGCAAGUGACAAGCAUACAUGUACCACACGGUUGACAAAUAUAACAUUCACGAACUUAUUUUAUAUAGAUGCAUGAACUAGUCAGAUCCCAGAAAACAAACACUAUAUUAUACAAGUACUAAACAGAGCAAACAGCUGUUUACAUGUACUCUUCAAAUCUGAACCUUACAAGUCUUGAACAUCUCUCAAUACUAUAGAAUUUCAGAGAGAGAGAGAGAGAAGGCAACAGCAGGAGGUUGAGAGAGAAGAAGCAGUAGCAGGGGGCGUUGAGAGGAGGGAGAAGGAGCAGCGGGGCAAAGGAAGAUGGAGUAGCAGCAACGACUUGGAGUUUGGAGAUGGAGAAGGAGCAGAACAACAGCGUGGUAGGGGAAAGUAGAAGAGCAGCAGCAAUAGGGAUUCAGAGAGGAGGCGAGCUUGGAGAAGGAUAGCAGCAGGGAGAGUUGUAGAUGAGCAGCAGCAGUAGCGCGGGGGAGAAGGAGCAGCAGACAGGGAUUCAGAGAAGCGAGGAAGAAGGGAAGAAGAAGCAGCGGCGGUGUGUCUGGCCGGGCACGCCAGCUGGAGGGAGAGGUCGCGCGAGGUGGGCACUGGUGGUUGGCGCUGUGAUGGAUGGAUGAUGGUGUGGGUGGUGGAUGGCGCGGGUGAUGGUGGAGCAACGAGGUCGCCGAAGCGCGUCGCCACGAUGGCCUGGCCGCGGCGGCGGCCGGAGGUGGGAGAAGAAGUGGUGAGGGGGAGAGAGAUGGAGAUGCCAGCUCCCUUUGGGAAUGGAGGCUGCUAGGGAUUUUGAUCCCCUCCGAUCAGAUCUGAAUGUUUUCACUUUGGCCCUCCUCCUUCCUUCUUUUGGCACAAGAUGAUCCCUCCACUUCUUAAGCUAGCCCCCCUAAGCUUUAAUCUUCUUCAAGCUUGAGUCCCUCUUUCUUCUCUUCUUGCCCGUGAUCUUGUUCCUCAAUUCUUUCUAGACAGGAACUUGUAGAUUAUAGUGCCUUGUCGCACUUUUCUGCAAAAGAAACACAAUGACUAGUAAAUGAUUCAUUAUAUGAUUUCCAUGCAAAUAUUCAAUAUUUCACAUCAAGAAUUAAUGGUCAUAUCUCAAUAAACCGCAUAUUUGAGUGCCAAAAGAUGUAUAUGAAAUGUGCUUAUCAAGUUCCCCCACACUUAAAUCUUUGCUUGUCCUCAAGCAAAGGCAUAUGACAAAAGCAAGAACAUGAACAGUGAACUGACUAGAGAAUGUCAAGUGAAGUAGAUCUCUAAACAAUGCAUGCUUUGGACUUGGCUAGUGAAAAUUAACGGUUAAGAGUGCUACAUAUCAAUAGGACACUAGUAAACUCGACCAUUUUAAACUUUUGCAAUGAUAAACGAAGAUUAGCAAGUUCAAAUGCUGAUUGUGCCAAAGGGUUCCUAAAGAGAGCAUGAUCCCAAAAAAAACUUAUUACCCGGAACAUAACAUUAUGGUAGAAGCACUUAUUGAAUUUGAAGGAAGUAAUGGUAAUAUUUUAUUGAUCUCACCAAUGGAACAUACCACCGAUCCCGAGAACAUGGUAUACACCCGGCUUGGCCAAUUAUUAGUUUUUUUUAGUUUGUCUCCCCAAAGGAACAUACCACCGAUCCCGAGAACAUGGUAUACACCUGGUUCGACAAUUACAUUUCUAUAAUUAUUAAUUACUGCCCAAGCUAACCUGAUUUCACAUGCCACCGAUCCCGGGAACAUGACAUGCUACUGUAGGUAGCCAGACUUAUUUAUUCAUUAUUACUUAUCUUAAAUGAACAACACAUAAGAACAAAAACAGGAAUCAUCACUUCUCCAUGUCUGGUUCACAUGCUACCGAUCCAGGGAACAUAGCAUGCUAAUCCAUAGUGGUUAGGUGAUUGCUCUCAAUGGGAAGACACUUGGCACAAAUUCAGCAUCUAAACAUGGUGAUCUAGGUGUAUCAUAGUAAAUGCAGAAAAUGACGAAGUUUUCUAGUGUACUAGGGAUUUGAGCACUCAAAACUAGUAGUUCUCACUAAUUUUAGCAAAGCAUGCAUGGUGUAGAUCACUAGUUUACAAGGCAUCCAAAAAUCAAGUUCACAAAUUCACAUCAAGCACAAUGCCAAAGGUGAGAUUCAGCUUGACAACAAGUAAUAACUGGCUCAAGCAACCCAACUAGCAAUUGAAUUCAGCAUGUAUUUAUGAUAUUCAGAAUGGGUCAUGAAACAGCUCACCGGGCUUAAUGAAGUAGCACUCGCUUGAUCACCUCACCAACUGCAGCUCUUCUCCUUUUCCUUCCUUAUGGAUGCUCCAGCUUCACUCUUCUUCGUGUGUGCCCCAUUGCUUCUCCUCAUCGCCAUGCUCUGACUCCACCAGGAUCCCAAGGAAUGUCACCUCAAACCUGGUCAGCAUGUAGUAAACAGUGCAGUAGCAAAAGCCUGAAAUAGGACUCACACAAACAACUAUAAGUGAUACGGUCGAUGCCCUCCAAGUCAUCAAUGGUAUAUCCAAUUAUAUAAGCAUAACUAUAAAGCACAUGUUUAGGAUGGCAGAAAUCAGCAUGGUCAAUACUCACACGAGGAUGACAUUUAUCAUUAAGCUCAAGACUAGCAUGGAAAUGAUGUGUUUCAUUAAGCAUAGGACUAGCACGAGGAAAGUAACUAUGAUCAUCGCAAAUGAGAGUAAUGCCACUAACAGGGUAUAUAUCAUCAUAUCCAAGCAAAUGAGUUUUCAAAUCAAUCUUAAGUGAUGGUAUCAUGUAAUGCAAGGUGGUAGCAAAGAAAUCACAAGGCAUCAUGUCAUCAAGAGGAUUGAGUAAACCUGACACAUCACGCUCUGGUAUGACAAUAGGCAAAUGAAUCUCAUGUUCUUCAUCUUCAUCUACAGCAGCUUCUUGUACUUCUUCAGAAGUAAUAGAUGAUGAGUCUUCAACUUGAUCACUUGGGAAUUGCAGCUCUUGACCAUCUUGUUCCUUGUCUUCUAGUUCAUCUUCUUCAAUCUGAGGUAUCUCUUGCUCAAGGCACUUGCUAUCUUCCUCAACGAAAUGUGAAGGUGCUGGAACCUCACAUGUAACCAUGGAUAUCUCAGCCACACUCAACUCAAGUUGUGAAGAAAUAGUGCUGCCAGCGUUGAUGUUCUUCUCAAUCUUCCUUACUUCUUCCACUAGCUCUUUUCCACUCUUGAUCUUCUUCAUUUCAUCUAGUAUAACCUUCCUAAUAGGAUCAUCCUCGGCACUCCAACUAAACUCGAGACUAAGCAAUGUGAUCUUUCUAUAUCAUCAAAUUCAUCUUGUGUGGGCACUUGCACAUGAGAUUGCUCGAAAGGUGCUGGAGUUGUUGGUUGACCAAAUGGAGGACCAUUUAACUCCAUUGGACACAUCUCCUGGUAUUGAGGUAUAUGAGUAGGAGGUGAAUAAAUCUAUUGUGGAGCAUAGUUGUGGUUCUCCUCAUUGUACCUGAAUCCCUGCAUUGGAUAACUAGAGGCAAACGAUGAGAUCUCAGGGUUAUUGCUCCUAUAUGACAUAUUCUGGUUUUUAGGCCACCCAUGUGUGUAAUUGUUUUGGUAUGAGUUAGGCAGUGGGGCGAAGCUCAUGCCAUAACAAUCGGGAGGAUGGGAGUAACCACACUGACAUUCAGCGGGCGAAUGGCCCUGAAAUCCACAAAUAUGGCAGGUAGGAGCAACAUAAGGAUGGCCUCUGGAAUUAGGAUCGUAAGAACUAGGCCUAUCCUCAAAAACUCCUUCUCGCUGUCGAGCUAAAUCAUCUAAUCGAUGGGAAAUCUUACCUAUCAGUUCUUAAACACUUUCCGUGUUGUUUGUAGUGUUGCUCGCAUAAGCCUGAUGAUCUGAAUAGUAAGCCAUAACCGAGAGGAUAAUCCAACCUGCAAAAAGGAAAAGAAGACAAAAAGAUACUAACUAGAACAGGGGUUAGUGGCUAGAGAUAUAUCACAAAUAUAUAAAGCACAAAAAGGAAACAAGCUAAACCUAGUCUAAAGCCUAGCACAAUCGCUCGACGCUAGUCCCCGGCAACGGCGCCAAAAUGAUCAAUUGAAAGUACAGUGGGGUUUUUACGCCCAAACUGCGAGUGUCGUGUUCUCCUCAGGGACUAGGCGACGACGACUAUGCUCGACUAAAGCUAGGUGACAGAAUACAAAUGAUGAUUGCAAGGAAAUAAACCUAAACUAAACAUGGUAGUUCCUGAAGAUCAUCGCCAAAGAAAAUGCAAAAUAAGCAAAGAGAUAUUCAGAUUUUCUAUACUCUCUUUUUGGCAAUUUCCAUAUUACUCAAAGAAUUUAAUGCUAACACAAGAAAACAUACGGCUAGGAAAUUAAAAAGACAAGAACAUAUAUAUAACUAUCUAACAUGAACAGUGGGAACAAACAAGAACUUGAGCUAAUACAUGGACUACAAAACUGAAUAUAUUUCUGCAGAAAAGGGAAGACACUGUGACGACGCAUACAUGAACUGGAAUUACGUAAAUUCAGUGCAAGUGACAAGCAUACAUGUACCACACGGUUGACAAAUAUAACAUUCACGAACUUAUUUUAUAUAGAUGCAUCAACUAGUCAGAUCCCAGAAAACAAACACUAUAUUAUACAAGUACUAAACAGAGCAAACAGCAGUUUACAUGUACUCUUCAAAUCUGAACCUUACAAGUCUUGAACAUCUCUCAAUAGUAUAGAAUUUGAGAGAGAGAGAGAGAGAGAGAGAAGGCAACAGCAGGAGGUUGAGAGAGAAGAAGCAGUAGCAGGGGGCGUUGAGAGGAGGGAGAAGGAGCAGCGGGGCAAAGGAAGAUGGAGUAGCAGCAACAACUUGGAGUUUGGAGAUGGAGAAGGAGCAGAACAGCAGCGUGGUAGGGGAAAGUAGAAGAGCAGCAACAGUAGGGAUUCAGAGAGGAGGCGAGCUUGGACAAGGAUAGCAGCAGGGAGAGUUGUAGACGAGCAACAGCAGUAGCGCAGGGGAGAAGGAGCAGCAGACAGGGAUUCAUAGAAGCGGGGAAGAAGGGAAGAAGAAGCAGCGGCGGUGUGUCUGGCCGGGCGCGCCGGCUGGAGGGAGAGGUCGCGUGAGGUUGGCACUGGUGGCUGGCGCUGUGAUGGAUGGAUGAUGGUGUGGGUGGUGGAUGGCGCGGGUGAUGGUGGAGCAACGAGGUCGCGGAAGCGCGCCGCCAUGAUGGCCUGGCCGCGGCGGCGGCCGGAGGUGGGAGAAGAAGUGGUGAGGGGGAGAGAGAUGGAGAUGCCAGCUCCCUUUGGGAAUGGAGGCUGCUAGGGAUUUUGAUCCCCUCCGAUCAGAUCUGAAUGUUUUCACUUUGGCCCUCCUUCUUCCUUCUUUUGGCACAAGAUGAUCCCUCCACUUCUUAAGCUAGCCCCCCUAAGCUUUAAUCUUCUUCAAGCUUGAGUCCCUCUUUCUUCUCUUCUUGCCCGUGAUCUUGUUCCUCAAUUCUUUCUAGACAGGAACUUGUAGAUUAUAGUGCCUUGUCGCACUUUUCUGCAAAAGAAACACAAUGACUAGUAAAUGAUUCAUUAUAUGAUUUCCAUGCAAAUAUUCAAUAUUUCACAGCAAGAAUUGAUGGUCAUAUCUCAAUAAACCGCAUAUUUGAGUGCCAAAAGAUGUAUAUGAAAUGUGCUUAUCA
rnacentral:lncRNA from 1 species